rnacentral:lncRNA from 1 species
UUUUGUAUGCUUUAUCUUCCCAAUGGUUAGGUUCUUUGUAUUGGAAUUGGACAGCUAUCAAGCAUAUGAGAAAUCCAUUAAGUAAUGUUGAUGUAAUCAUGUCAAUGAGAAGAUUUCUACUUCAAGUUUGGCCGGUGGUACAUACCAAUCAGCUUAUCCGUGUGUACACUUCCGCUUAUGUCUUAACUCAAUUGAAAUAAUGCGACUACUAUGAGUAUGAGCACUUGUACGAGUAGAAGUAUUGCGUGUAUCUCCCACCGUAACUUCAUACCUUCCGGGAAAGUUUUGAUCAGCUGAGACCCACCACCUUCAAGAGGGAAACCCCACCAGUCUGUCCUCUAUAUGAACACCCCUCCUCUCCUCGCUCCUUACAUCUUCUCAAUUGAAAUUCUGCAUAUUUCCUUGUAUUUUUUAGAGAUAGAAGUUGGGGUUCUCCUCUGAAUCUCCACCUUCUUCUUCUGUUGCUUUUCAAAAAUUAGUAUCUUUUCCUUUUUGACAUUUUCUUAUCAGCAUAACUAUGAAUUCUGUCUCUGCAAGUUCUCUCUUCGAAUUUCUCUGCCCAAAACGUUUUGUAUUUUUCUAGCAAGGCCUAUCUCCUUUUUUUUCUCUGCUUCUUCCUCCCCUUUCCUUACAGAAACCGUUUCUUCCCCUCUUUUCUUUUCCUUUUUUUUCCUCGUCGGAGACAGAAAAUCUUCCGUGCUCUGUUUCUAGGUUACCGCACAGAUCAAAAAGUCCUACCGAUGGCAACUGGUUCCCCCUCACCCUUGAAGAAAGGCAACUCCGGUCUCCCUCCGAAAAGAGGCCAAAUCAAAGCUCAAAUUUUUGAGAGCUUGAAGAAGGCGGUUCUCUCAGUAGCCUCAAAGUCGGGAGAAACACUGGGAAUCCGCCGCAGCAGCGGUGGCCAUGGCGAUGCCAGUGGAAGCUCUGCCUCUGCAACCCCCCCACCAAGCGGCUACAACUCGGAUUGGAAUUCCGAUAUCUCUUAAAAGAAGUCCAAUCCGGCAAUCAUCAGCACAUCACCACCACCUUCUCAAUCCAACGAACUGAGCUUUUCCCAGAUUCUUUAUAAAAACCGGGAAAAGUUAUGUGAAGAAACAUCUAUGUUUUCUUCGCCUUGUGCUUUGGAUUUAUAUUUGUCUGCAGUUUCUUACUUGGUUUGCAUAAUGGAUACGUGUGAAUUGUGUAUUCUCCUACAUAGCCCAUGUUUUAGAAGGCUAUGACAGGAGGCUAUGCCGAUCUAUGUUUAUGUUGUAAGGUCAGUGUCUUAAUAUUUAGUUUGCGUUCUGCCAUUUCCAGCUUUUACCAUGUAGAAAAAAUCUCUUCCAAUGGCCGUUUCUGCAUGUUUUUAGAGCGGAGAUGACCUGGUUGGAGGAGGUGGUUUCAGUUGUCUGUAUUUACCGUUUCUGGACUCUGUAUUUUCCGUUUCUGUCUAUUGAAUAUGAUGCUGUUUGUCUAGUGGAAAAAAAAUCUAUGUUUCAAGAACUUUUACUCUUUUUUUUUUCCUAGUUUACUUCUUCUUCCUUGAAUCAAUUAUGACUGAAAUGGUGGGCUGCUGUUGGUGAUUGAAAUGGUCGUUGAUUUGGUAAUUUGCAUGCAAAUCGUUCAUCAUCUUCAUCAAAAUCCUCCACUUGGCCAAAAUUUUCAGGCCGAGUUCUUUGAAUUUUUGGCCUCUCCUUGGGAAGGCUUGCCGUUGACCCUGAUGAACCAUGCUGAUCCCAUUUGAUUUAAUGGGAUUGUACAUGAAUCUUAGUGCUGUUUUUUUCAGAUUCGGAAUAUACCUUCGAAAAAUCAGGACGUCUUUGACUUUUGUCCCCACCGGAGCUGUAUUUUAUUUAUGAAAUUUAUUUUUCAAAAAGAUUUUAAAUAAAAAAUAUCUACAAAGUGUUGUUCAUGAAAUUUGAAAUCAAUAAUAAUUUAUUCUAAUUAUACUAAAUUAUAAAGGCUAUGAAUGAAAUUAACCUAAGUACAUUUUAACCCUAUUGAUAGGGUGCGCUGUAAAAAUUGAUUGUGUACCAUCCACCACAAGGUGCCCGUAGAGAAUUGAGAUUGAGACCUGAAAAAAGGACAUAUAGCUGUCCAUUGUUUCACUGAGAUUGAGAUAUGGAAAAAGGGCAAAUGGAUGAAAAAGGUCGGCCGGAAACAAGCUUAUCCAUAUCUAAUUAAGGACCCUUUCAAUGAUAGUUGUUGGGGGUUGGGUGGGGGUAUGCGUAUGCUGUCCAGAGCAUAGAAAAAUAAAUUCAUAAAGCUGAUUCUGUAUCAAAUAACAAUAAUGCCCAACACAUAGAAAUGACGAUGCCUUUGUUUUCAAAUAUAAAAAAUAGGUGAUUUUUCACUUGGAAGAAGAAAAAAAGAACAAAAAAAAAAGUUGUAGUAGAUUAUGUGGUAUCCUAAAAAUAAUGUAUGUAGAUAAAGAUACUAAUUUCUAGCACUAAGGAGUAUAAGUUUACUAGCAAGCUGUAAUAUGAAUGAGAAUCCUAUAGUCAAUUAUGUAUUCAUUGAUUCGAUACAAAGGUAUGUGGCCUUUUUUUUCACAUAUGCAAUGAUUCACUCAUUAUUAUUCAUCCCCAAAAGACCUUUUACAUUUAUUAGUGACAAGUUGGCAUGGAAGAGUUUGACAACCAACGCUUCGCUUGGCUUGGGGACCAAAUAAUAGCUACAAGUAGAAAAGGUAGAGAGGAAGAGGUACAAAACCGUUCAAUAGUUUCUCAUAUAAAAUUAUUGACUUUAGAGAUAUAGUAAUAUGCGCCCCUUGUUUCAAAGAGAGGAUGAUAGGUUAUUCACAUUUCAUUUGAUGGUCAAAGGUGAAUUGAAAGCUAAGCAGUGGUAAUUAUAAAGAUUAUCCGAGGGAAAAAUAGAGAUGUCUCCUACAUUACCCAUAACAUGUGGAAGUAUUGACUCUAAUUUCAGAGUCAUUUGGUCUCCUUUUCUGGCUCCGAUUUUAUGUAACUUCGAUUACUAAUUUAAAUUUGAAAGAAUUGAUCUCCUUCAAAUUUUAUACUGAACUUUUGAUAUAUGAGUCUGAGUACUAAUCCAAGGAAAGAAGAUAUUAAAAAAAAAAGAUCAAACAAUGAUCUCAUCAGUCUUACCAAGGUAAUGAAUAAUCUUUUUGAAAAAUCAGGACGUCUUUGACUUUUGUCCACAUCGGAGCUAUAUUUUAUUUAUGAAAUUUAUUUUUCAAAAAGAUUUUAAAUAAAAAAAUAUCUAUAAAGUGUUAUACAUGACAUUUGAAAUUAAUAAUAACUUAUUCUAAAUAUACAACAAUUCCACCAGUCCUACCAAGGUAAUGAAUAAUCUUUGUUAGGGGUCCCAUCGAAAAAAGAACAAACUCUAAAAUAGUGAAUUUUAUGGAAUAUUAGAUCUUUUAAAUACGUUUCUAAACCCUAUUGAUAACUUUGUGGGUUCCCCCAUCGAAAAGUUGAACCAAAAAAUUUCAACUCCACGCUGAUUUCCUUCACAUGGACCAUAAUUACCAAUUUUUGUCUUUCUUAUUUAUUUUUUAUAAACUCAUUAUUUAAUGGUUUUUAAAAUAAUUUAAUUCUUUUAUUUAAUAAUACAUUGAUAUAAAUCAAUAUAAGUAAAUAAAAUAUAUUAACAAUAAAUUCAUUUUAAUGAUAUUGAUUGAUAUGAAAGGUAUUUAGUUGAAUACUAAAAAAAAACAAACACGUCGAUUUUCCAAAAUGACACCAAAAAUGCCUACAUCAUCCUUCUAGAUAACGCCCAGCUCGGGCUGACGUUAUGGAGUUAGCAGAAAAGGGAGUAUCAGAAUUAAUUUAGGUCGGCCAACACCGAACAAAGGGUUGUGUUCUUCUAGGGCUGCUUCUGUGAAUAUUAAUAGAGGGGGGACAAACUCCAGAAAUGGGCGGUGAGAGUGGUAGGGUUCUCUGCUUGACUUCCCAGAGUCUUUCCACCUUUCUUCUUUUCACAUUCCUUCCGGGGCUGUUUCAUUCUGACCAUUAAAUGAUUUGUCUGGGCUUAUUAAUUUUUGAGACAAUAGCUCUUAUGUGAUUUGCCCCAACGGAAAGAAACCAUUUUUUAAUUAAAAGUUUGUGUAAUUUAUGAGACUUUUAUUUAUUUAAUUUUGUGUUAAGUUUUGGAACCACAAGACAAUGGCACUUUUGGACCAUAGGGGAAUUACUAAGGAAAUGGGGUUGCCUUCUCUAAUCCACCCACUCAAGAAAAAGGAUAAGAAGAAAGAAAAGAAAUGUACAUGCUAGGUAUUGAAAUCAUGGUUAUGGGUGUAGACAUGUGCUCCUGAGGACAGGAAAUCUAAUUCUUGCAACUGAAUCUGUAGUGUGUAGUGUUAGGGGUUGAAAAAAGAAGGAAAGAAAGAAGAGUCACCCCCAGGAAAAUGAAGGCCACGACCUCUUCCACCGACCCCAAGUCCAGGCACCAAUCUCUUGUGGGACGACGGUCAACUCAUUUUGUCUGUUUGGCACCAAGAUUGUUUGUUUUCCGGCUGAAAGCGCCCACAGUGGAUAAACCCCACAAAUGGGCUGUUGGAGUGGGCUCCACACCCCUCCCCAUCACAGCCAAAAUCAUGGCUAGGUCUCGUACUGACUCGUCGAGUCUACUAUGGGCCUUCUUCAUCUUGUUCACACUCCUUUCCCAUCACAGCCAAAAUCAUGGCUAGGUCUCGUACUGACUCGUCAAGUCUACUAUGGGCCUUCUUCAUCUUGUUCACACUCCUUUAAUGUUGCGGUUGGUUUUCGUAUGAUGUCAGUGCUUAUGUCGGAGUAAUAUCAUUUGAAUAAUAAUCAAGUUAAAAGUAUACAUUGAAAUGAACUCGCUUAGAUAUAAUCCAUUUAAUAACCAUAUCUUUUUAUUUACUAAUCAAGUUCAAAUUAAAUCUUAUAUAAGUUUAUAUUUGUGAAAAUUUUGGCUUCUGAACAUUUAUCAUCAUACCAAAUUUUACAAUUAAGAUGGAUGAUUUUUUCCUUUUGUAUUUUUUGUUUUUAGAAAAAUAAAUUGGGGAUUUCUUUCCUUAUGGCAUUGGUUGGGUAAUCAGUCAAAAUUGGUUUUUUGGGAAACAAUAUAGAAUAGGAAAUGAGGUGUAAAUCAAACUAGAUUUGUGACCUGCCGUUAAGGGUGGUAGAUUAGGAAAAUAAAAUAAAAAUUAGGGCAAGUAAGCAUGUUGUGGUGUGCUUGUAAUUUGGGGGUUUACCUAGAGAGAAAUUGUUCUAGUAUGUUUUGCCUUGUAUCAUUGAUUGCAAAUAGUGAAAAUUGUUGCUACAAUUCAUGGAUGUAGGUUAGUUUUUUAUCGAACCACGUAAACCUUUGUGUUUUGAUUAUCGUUUCUUUAGGGUUUGCGUGUAGGAGUUCUUCUUUGUUGUGUGGGUAGUAUUACAUCUGCAAAGAGUUUGUGCAUUGAAUUCAAUAAAUUGGUUAAUUAUUUCUUCUUCAUAUUCCCACAAUUGGUGCGUGAGCGUGGAAUUGUUGAAGAUGACUACAACUAAGUCUGAGAUGCAACAAUUCAAUGCCAAGAGAGACUUCGACAUUUGGCAGCAACGUAUGAGAGCAAUCUUGGUUCAACAGAAGGUUGCUCAAGCACUAUAAGGAAAAAAGAACCUUCCAAGCACCAUGAUAGAGACAAAGAAGACGGAGAUGCUCGAAACGACAUAUAGCACUAUGAUCUUGUAUUUUAGUGACAGUGUUUAAAGGAAGUGCAACAAGAAGACAACUAUAGCAGACUUAUGGUUGAAAUUGGAGAGUCUUUAUAUCACAAAAUCUCUCACUAACCGGAUUUAUUUGAAGGUAAAAUUGUUUGGGUUCAAGAUGCAAGAGGACAAUAAUCUUAAUGAGAACUUCAAUGAAUUCAAUAAGUUGGUUAUUGAAUUGGAGAACAUUGGAGAGAAGAUCAAUGAUAAAGAUCAUGCAGUCAUAUUAUUGAACUCGUUACCAUUAACCUACAAUCAACUUCCUGAUACUAUUAAGUAUGGUAGGGAUACAUUGUCUCUUGAUUAUUUGGAAUUGGCUAUUAGGUCUAAAGAGUUAGAAUUGAAGGCAGAGAAAAAGACAAAUAUUGGUAAUGAGACUCUUAAUGUUUGAGGUAGAACGGAGAAAAAAAACAACAAGAACAAAAGAAAAUCAAGAUCCAAAUCACAGAUAAAGUUCAGGCGUUAUCAUUGCAACAAAAAGGGUCACAUAAAGAGAGAGUGCCUUGAUAGGAAGAAGAAGUCAAAUGAUAAGCAGGAAUUUGGAGACGCAUUUGUGGUGUUGGAUGGUUAUGAUUCGACAAAAAUACUUGUUCGUUCAGCACAAGAUACUCACAAGGAGUGGGCUUUGGACUCUGGGUGCUCGUUUCAUAUGAGUCCAAAUUAUGAGUGGUUUCAAACAUUCAAGGAGAUUGAUGGAGGGAUUGUCUUACUCGGCAAUAACAAGGCAAGUAAGAUAUGAGGGAUUGGAUCUAUCAAGGUGCGAAUGUUUGAUGGUUGUGAUAGAGUACUACAAAAUGUACGGUAUGUUCCAAAGCUUAGAAGAAAUUUGAUUUCCCUUGGGAUGCUUGAUUCGAUAAGUUGUUCUAUCAAAAUUGAAAAUGAGGUGAUGAAGGUUGUGAAAGGUGCAUUAACUUUGAUGAAAGGGGUUCUUUUGAAUGGUCUAUGCUCUUUGAUUGGCUCAACAGAAUAUGAAAUUGCAGCAUCUGUUGUAACAAAAUAUAAAAAAGACACAACUAACAAGAUUGUUUCAGCAAAUGGAGAGAAUUUCACAAUAGAAGGCAAAAUUGUCUUGACCAAUGGAAGUAAUAGAACUGAUUUGUGGCAUAGAGGCUGGGGCAUGUAAGUGAGAAGGGUCUAGAUGAGUUGUAUAAGAGGAGGCUAAUUGGAAAAGAAAAACUCAAGAAUUUGGAGUUUUGCAAACAUUGUGUGUAUGGUAAAAGUCAUAGGGUGAAGUUUAGCAAAUCGAUGCAUACAACUCAAGGGAUUUUAAACUAUGUUCAUACGGAUCUUUGGGGUGCAGCACGAGUUCAAUCCCAUGGUGAAGGCAAGCAUUUUUAUCUCUGGUAGAUGAUUAUUCCAAAAAUUUGUGGGUCUACAUAUUAAAGAGUAAGGAUGAGACAUUUGACAAAUUCAAAUAAUGAAGAAUCAUGAUUGAAAAUCAAACAAUGAGAAAAUUGAAAAUUUUUUAAAACUGAUAAUGGCUUAGAAUUUUGUUCUGAAUUGUUUGAUGGAUACUGCAAAAAAAGAAGGGAUUAGAAGACACAAAACUGUUAGAGACACUCCUCAACAAAAUGGUUUGGUGAAGAGAAUGAACAGUACUAUCCUAGAAAAAGUGAGGUGUAUGUUGUCAACAACAGGUUUACCAAGAUUUUUUUGGGUUGAAACUGUGAUGACAACAAAACAUUUGAUCAACAGGUGUCCUUCAACUGCAAUUGGCUUGAAAACUCCUCAAGAAGUAUGGUCUAGGAAACCUACAAAUUACUUAAAUUUGAAGGUGUUUAGGUGUACAACUUAUGCUCAUGUAAAACAAAAUAAACUGCAACCUAAGGCAUUAAAGUGUAUAUUUAUUGGCUAUCCAAAUGGAGUUAAAGGGUACAAGCUGUGUUGUCUUGAAUCUGGUUAAAAAUGACUAUAAUCAUGAUGUAGUGUUCAAUGAAGAAGAAUUUCCUGGUUUGAAGUCUGAUGGUGCAUUUUGUCAAGACGAUUCAAUCUGCCAAGACUACAAUGUUGGUGUUAAGGUGGAGCUCACACAUUUGGAAUCUUGCAAAACUAUUGGUCCAGGAUCAUCAACCCAAUUUCAAGAGAAGGAUUCAUUUCAACAACAUUGGAAACAAGGGUGUGAUGAUUAUCAAUUGGCGAAAGAUAGGCAAAGAAGAGUUAUAAGACCGCUUAAAUAUGAUUAUGAAGACAUAGUAGUUUUUGCUCUUACAACUACUAGUGGGUCUUUAAAUCAAGAACUAGAAAGUUAUCAACAAGCAAUGAGUUGUGAUGACAAAGAAAAAUGGCAGAAGGCCAUGGAAAAUGAAAUUGGAUCAUUAUACAAGAAAAAAACUUGGGUUUUGGUGGAGAGACCAAAAGAUAUGAAAUUUUUUUAUUGUAAGUGGAUUUAUAAUAAUAAUAAUAAAAUAAAAUAAAAAGGAUACACCAGGAGUAAAGAAAGCACGGUACAAAGCCAGGUUGAUUGCUAGAGGCUUUACACAAAAACAAAGAGUGGAUUACAUAGAAAUAUUCUCUCUGGUGGUGAAGCAUAGUUCAAUCCGGAUUUUGCUAACUAUGGUGGCACAUUUUGACAUGGAGCUUGAACAAAUGGAUGUCAAAACAACAUUUCUUCAUAGUGAGCUUGAGGAGACUAUUUACAUGAGGUAACUUGAAGGUUUUGAAAUUAAAAGCAAAGGAGAUCAGGUUUGUCUAUUAAAAAAAUCAUUGUAUGGUUUGAAACAGUCCCCUCGACAAUGGUAUAAGUGUUUUGAUGAUCUCGUGAUUUAUAGUGGUUUUGAAAGAAGUCAAUUUGAUAAUUGUGUUUACUUCAAGAAGAAAUCAGGUACUAGUAAUGUCUAUUUUCUGUUGUAUGUUAAUGACAUGUUGUUGGCAAGUUGUGACAAGGUAGUAAUUAAAGAUUUGAAGAAACAACUGAAAGGAAAAUUUGAAAUAACAGAUUUGGGACUUGCUCAAAGAAUGCUCAGAAUGGAGAUAUCACGUGAUAGAGAAAUGAAAACAUUAAAGCUUACUCAAAAAGAGUAUGUUAAUAAGAUUUUGGAGAGGUUUGGCAUGAGUCAAGUAAAACCUAUAAGCACUCCAUUGGCACAACACUUUAAAAUGAUAGCAGAUAAUUCACCUAAAACCAAGGAAGAAGUCAAGUACAUGAAGGAAAUACCAUAUGCUAGUGUUGUUGGUAGCAUCAUGUAUGCAAUGGUAUGUAGUAGGCCAGAUUUAGCCUAUGUCACUAGCAUGAUAAGUAGAUUUAUGUCAAUCCAGGAAGGGAACAUUGAAAUGUUGUGAAAUGGGUCCUAAGGUAUUUGAAGAGAUCUACUGAUGUUGGAAUUCUCUAUGGAGGUGGAGCUAUUGGAAAGUUAGGUGCUACAGGAGUGUAUGUAGAUUUUGAUUAUGUAGGAAGUUUUGGACACAAGAAGAUCCCUAACAGGAUAUGUUUUCAUAUUGUUUGGUGGAAUUAUAAGCUAGAAGGCUAGUCUUCAAUCCAAUGUGGCUCUAUCCUCGACGGAAAUGGAAUAUGUAGCUUUUACAGAAGUUGUGAAAGAAGGUUUGUAGGUUAGAAGAAUGAUUGGUGAGAUAGGGUCGGCACAAAAGACGUUGACAGUUCAUUGUGAUGAUCAGAGUGCAAUUUACUUGAUAAGGAAUACUAUGUUUCAUGAAAUAAUGAAGCAUAUAGAUGUCAAGUUACGUUUCCUGAGAGAUGUGGUGUCAAAAGAUGACGUUGUGGCUAAGAAGAUUCAUAUGGAUGACAACCCAGUUGAUAUGUUGAUGAAGGCAUUGACAACUAUCGAGUUCAAGCAUUACUUGAGCUUGAUAAAUUUUCUAAGCAAUUAAGAGAAGAUUGAGUAGCAACAAUUGGAUGAUAAAUUCAAAGCCAGACAGAGAUUUGUGAAAAAUUUAGCUUCCAAACAUUUAUCAUCAUACCAGAUUUUACAGUCAAGAUGGAUGAUUUUUUCAUUUCUUAUUUUUUGUUUCCAGAAAAGUAAAUAUGAGAUUUAUUUCCUUAUGGUAUUGAUUGGGUAACCAAUCAAAAUUGGUUUUUUGGGAAACAAUAUGGAAUAGGAAAAGAGGUGUAAAUCGAACCAGAUUUGUGGCCUGUUGUUAAGGGUGGCAGAAUAGGAAGAUAAAAUAAAAAAUCAGGGCAAGUAAGCACCUUGUGAUGUGCUUGUAAUUUUGUGGUUUACCUAGAGGGAAAUUGUUUUGGUAUGUUUUGUUUUGUAUCAUUGACUGCAAAUAGUGAAAAUUGCUGCUAUAAUUCGUGGAUGUAGGUUAGUUUUUUAUCAAACCAUGUAAACCUUUGUGUUUUGAUUAUCGUUUCUUUGGUGUUUAUGUGUGUGAGUUCUUCUUUGUUGUGUGGGUAGUAUUACAAUUGCAAGGAGUUUGUGCAUUGAAUUCAAUAAAUUGGUUGAUUAUUUCUUCUUCAUAUUCCCACAAUAUAUAUUAUUAUCUUUCAUACUAUAUUUAUGACUCAAUCAAUCCAUUUAUUCAAUAACAAAAUUUGUAAUGAUUCACAUAUAGAUUAAUUUGUUUAAAGUUAUAAUUAGAUUAAUCAAUAACAUUAUCAAAUAAAUUAAUUCAAUAUUUGUAUUAUUUAAGUUGACCUAAAAUCAAUCUAUUUAUUAAAUUAUGUAGGUUGGCAUGAAAUUGAUCUCAUAUCAUUAUACUCAACCUAAGCCCCUGAACAAUGUGUUAGGUUUGAGUUAUAUCGUAAGAUAUUUUAUCACCCCCUAGAAAUAUUAAGAAUAACCACCGAUCCAACUCCUUAUCUUGAUCGUUAAAUGUAUAUGGUGAAACUUGAACAAUUGAAUGCGGGUAUAAAUAAAUAAGACUAAUCGUAUAAGGUUACAAAAGAAUGGAACUUAAGGGCAAAGUCAUAGGAUUGAAGGUAUACACACAACACCUUAUGAUUGGUGAUGCUUUUUCAUUAACGCUACCCUUUGUCUUUGGAUGUAGGCACAAACAAAUAGAUAUAAACACAAUCCCAUAUGAUUAAAAGUACAUUUUUGACAACUAUCAAAAGAAUACCUAAAAAAAUUGAAUUUAAGUACAAAGUCAUAGGACCAAGAUAUAAACACAACUCCAUAUGAUUAAUAGUACAUUUUUGGCAACUAUCAAAAGAAUACCUAAAAAAUUGAACUUGACUAUAAAGUCAUAAGACCCAAGGUAUAAACAUAGGCAACUACCAAAAAAGUACCUAACUACUUCUCCAUUAUCUUGAUAUCAAGUACUUAAUUGAAAACCCUUUAUUUAUAUAUAUAAAUUAAAGAUUUUGAAGUCAAUUUAGAAUCUAAUGUCAUCAUCUCUCUUUUAUAUUAUUUUUUAUUAAUAUUACUCUUUCAUCAACAUCUUAGACUCUAAAACCAUGGAAAGGGAGGUGAAUAGGUAGCCCAUUAAAAAUUGUUCAAAAUUUUAAUUUUAAUUUUCUAAGUUCUUUGAUUAAGAUAUAAUUAAUUAAUAAAAGUAAAGAAUAAUCAAUCGUACAAGGGGACAUGUGAUUUACAUGGAAAAACAACUCACAAAGACUCUUAGAGAUUUUAUGAAUGUAAAAAUCAUAAGUUCAUUAACUACAAAGUUACAAUUCAUUAACUAUAUCCAAAUAAGAACAUAGAUUUAUCUGAUAGUUGCUACUUCCUGAGAGUUAUAUGGUCAGUUGUUGAAAAAUACUUUAUUUGGUGUUUAAUAUCAAACUUAAAAAAUAAUAUAUAGGAUAUGAAGAAGAAAACAUACUUUGAUACAUAGUCCUAACCUUAGUUUGGUUUGAAGUUCUUCACAUAAAUGUCUUAAACUUCGAUUUUGAUUUUUACUCUUCUACUCUUUCUUUUGUGCACUCCUUGGUAAUGGAUAUAAAAGGUGCUUUUGAUAUUUUGAGGAGAAAGAGAGACCAAAAACUUUUUUAUUUAUAGGUGUUUUAUGGUUCUUCUCAUCAAUGAACCCUUAAUUGCAUACUUUGAAAUUUUCUUUAAUGAAUAAUAAUAAUAAUAAUAAUAAUAAUAAUAAAAUUAUUAUUAUUAUUAUAUUGGAAUAUGAAUUUAAUUGUUUCCAAAAAAAAAUGUAUACCUUGAAAAAAUAAACAACACAUGGAAAUCAAUAUAAUUUAAAGUAAUGAUAUAAAGUAAUAUGACUCAAGGUACAAAUAAAUAAUGAUAUAAAAUAAUAUGAUUCAAGGUACAAAUAAAUGAAAUUAACAAUAUAAAGUAAUGAGACCAAUUGAUGACGUCUUAAUUUUUGCUUUUGUGAGUGAAAUUACAAAUUUAUCGAAUGGAAUGACUAUUUUUAGAAGUGCUAUUUUAAUUUUUGGGAAUGUUUCAUUGAUUUUGUGAACAAUUUUACUAUUUUUUGGAGGAUAAUUAAAUUUUGGGAAUGGAAAGUUCAUGUCUUGAUUCUCAUGGAACAAAUUUCAAUUUUCCUAUAAUAUAAAUAAAUAAAUAUUUUUUUUUUCAAAUUGCAGCAUAUGAUCUUCUACAUGUAAUAAAUAUUUUUUUUUUCUACUUUUUUAUUUAAUAUAAUAUUUUGUUUCAAUAAUUUAUUUUGAGUUAUUUCAGUUAGGUAAAAAAUUUCUUACCUUUUUUUUUAUCUAUUCAUCAAAAUAAAUAAAUUUUUAUAUAAAUUAUUUUUUAAAAAUCAUUUCUAUCUUGAAAAAAUAUUUUUUUUUAUAAAUAUAUUUUAUUUGUUUCAAAAAAUUAUUUAUAUUUCUAACAUCAAGUUAAAUGGAGGAAAACAAUCCAUUUAAAAAAAAACAGCUUUUUUAUUUUAUUGUUUUAUAAAAUAGUUUUUAUCAACUUAACCAAACAUGCAUUUUUUUUAAAUUAGAAAAACUUUUUUUCAUAAUUUAGUUUCUAAACAUAAUUUUUUUUCUUCUAAAAACAUCAAAAUUAUUUUUAAAAAAACAUUCUAAAAAAUUAUUUUUAAAAACAAUUCAAAAAUAUCUUACUUGUUUGCUCACUUUUCUCUAAAACAAUUUUCUCUUUUGAGAAAAAAAAACAAGAAAAUGUGUUCUUUAAAACAAAAAAUAAAGUAUUUUUUGUUUAAUCCUUUUCGAUUAUUUUUACUUGUUUUGUAUGGAUUAUUUUUAAAAAUACAAAAAUACAAAAAAUAAUUGAAAAUAAAUAAUUACAUAUAAAAUUUAUUUUUAAAAAUAUUUGAAAACACAAAAAAUAAGUUUAAAAUAUUUUAAAUUCUCAAAUAUAAUUUUGUUUUAAAAAAAAUAUCAUAAACUGUUUUUGAAAAAUAUCUUUAAAUGGGAGAACGGUUAAUAAAAAAUGUUCCCAAACAGUGCUUAUUCUUUCUUUUUCUUUCUUAAACACUUUAUUAAAUAAAUUAAGAAACCACCCACCAUCUGUGUUUGAAAAUAAUUUGGAAAAGCGUUUAUACUUAAUUUUUUUUACCUUUUAAAUAUUAAAAAUACUUCCUGAACUCAUUUCCCAACCUUAUCAUCACCAUGCCUACCAACCGGUCACUCCAAGCUUUUCUUAAUUUUCAACUUCCCAAGUGUUGCUCUGCCAUUGGCGGUAACUUGGCCAAACCUAAUUUCACGAAUCCCUUGCGGAACCUUGCACAUCAAGUAAGCUACAGGUUAGGGGCUAUAUGUAAAUAAGCCAUCCCGAAACUAUCCCUAUCUCCUUCACACCUCAAUCCCUGUUUCUACUCUGUCCAUUCAGCAAUGGAAAUUGCAGUCUCCACUAGUCCCAAUUACAAUCCAGAAAGACACCUCCCGCCUUCACGGGAUCAGAUGGGAGCAGAUCAAGGAGAUAGUGGUGGUCGUCGCGGUAGCUCCACCUCUUCAACUCUUCCUGAACCCUCUACCAAGUACUAGCUACACUUGAUAUGGGAGGUAAUGAUUCAUUGAACUUAGAUUUCUUCUUACGGUUGUGAUGGCUGUUGUCUAAUUAUGAUAUGCUUGGAUCCCUAGAAAAUUUUUCAUUUGAUUCAAAAUUUUCUUUUCCUUCAGUUGACGGAAAGGGAGAAAGGGAGAAAGGGAGAUGGGGAGACAGGGAGAAAGGGAGAAAGACGAUCGGCUGGUAAACUUUUAAGAAGUUUGUAUUUCCAUUUAUGCAGAAAAAGUUGUAGUAUUUUUGCUUUUGCAUGCUUCGUUUAGAGACUGGAAUGGAUCAGUGGGUAUGAGAUUGAAUGGAUCUUGAUUUCUUGAUUUCUUUUUAAGUGGAAAUGUUGAUCAAUAUGAAGAUCAUAUCACAUACGCCUCUGUCCCUCUUGUAAUUGUGUGUCUGAAAGUCCUCACAAGCCCAUCAAUGGUCUCUUGCUGUAUAAUCCUGCACUUUGAAUACCAUUACAUUGAUUUCAACCAAAAAAAACCCAGAUUCUUUUCAAUUUUCUCCAUUAUGACUUCCAGACCUGAGAAUUUCCUCAGGCAGAAGGUGUGGUCCUCCACAGGUACUACCUUGAAAAUGCAAUUUCAAAGUGAAGUGACUCGGUUCAACGCAGCCUUUGAAUUGCCCCCACCUUUGUGGGGACGUGAGCAUCUACUACUCACUGAAUCACUGAGUCAGAAUUAUCUUUUCAAAUUUUAUUUUAUUUUAUUUUUCUCCAGACCAGCUGGAAAUAUCUACGGUUGGAUCUCAUUUUAUUUUUUUAAAGAGAAAAUCAAUUUAGAAGUUAUAAAUAGGAAGACCAUGGAAUCUUUCUCCGCCGUAGAAAAACGAAGGAAAAGUCUGGAUACAGCUGUAUCUGCCGUACAACUGCCCACUUCCUCAUGCAUUUUAGCACGUGCGAGGACUCAACCCUCUAGAAUGAUCUAUAUUCCAUGUACCUUAAUUUAGGUGAUAUUUGUUAAAACUAAAAAUUAAAUACUGAAUGUAUAAAUUAGUAUUAAUCAUUAUUUAUUUUGAACUAGGUAUAAAUAAAUCAUUGGAUCUUAGGGUUAUUCAUUGGGCAUUAAUCAUUUUGGUUAUUUAGCUAUUAUGAGAGUCGUAUGUGGAGGGUUUCGAUUAUAAGUCCUUCCUUGAUGAGGAAUGCUUGCGAAAUUUGCUUGGAUGGAUGUGUAAGACCGUUUUUAAUUAAUAAUGUCUCAUCAAUAUAACGAUGAUACUAAAAAACGUAUAUUUAAUACAUUAUGAUAGGAGAGGAUGACCCAUUAAAAUAACAUGACAAGUAGCGGUCUUAGAUUAAGAUUACCGCGUUAAUCAACCUUUUGCUUUAUCCUAACAUGAUUACGAUGUCAGCUAAUUACAUACUUGCUAAUGAACUAUUCGAAAGAGAGAAGGUAUGAGAGCGUGACCCAUUAAAAUGACAUGGCAAGUGGAGGCCUUAGAUUACCGCGUUUAGCCUUUUGCUUUAUGCAUUGAUUAUAAUGUCAAUCAAUUCCAUACUUGUUAAUGAAACUCUUUGAAAAAAGAAAAGUUAGGAGAAGAUGACUGUUGUUGUAGUAUGUGACUUAUAUUAAAUGAAAAACAUAUGAAGAAAAAUGGACAAAUAUCAGCGAUAUUUGUCAUGGUCAAUGUUUGUCAUGGACAAACAUUGAUUAUAAUUCAAUGUUUAUUUUCUCAUAAUACGAUUUAGGGAUAUUUUUAAAUUUUCAUUAUUUGAAGAUUAAUAUAAAUACCUUUUUAUAUAACCUAAUUCGAAAUAUAGUGAAAGUUUUCUUUUCAAGUCCUAGACUUUGGCAUGUAAGAAAAUAAAAAAGUGAACUAUUAAAAUGACAUGAGAAGUGGGGGCUUGGAUUGCUCCUUUUUGCUUUGUAAGAAAAUAAAAAAGUGACCUAUUAAAAUGAUAUGACAAGUGGGGGCCUUAGAUUGCUCAUUUUUGUUUUAUCCUAAUUACGAUGUCAGCGAAUGACAUACUUAUUAAUGAACUCUUUAGGGAAAGCUAGAAAUAUUUAUUUCAAAUUGAGGUUAUAUUUGUCCCUUUCACAAAGUAGGGUUGUUCCUCUCACCAUCAGGUGCAUCACCCAAUGCCCAAAUCCCAUGUAUGGUGGUUUUCACCGUCAAAAAAAGGACUCAAAAGCUGUCAUAUAUGGUCUAAUAUAAUAUUUUUAUAAAUAUUUGGGACUAAAUUAUGAAUUUAUGGUCCCACACGGCUUCAACUGUGGAUAGGUCUAUUCAUGCAAACAAAAAGACUGGUACUUUUGAUAAUGAUGACUUUGAUAUGAUUUUUGAUUUAUGGUUUGUUUUGCUUUGAGAAUGGUGGGUGUUGGGAAAUUGUUUUUUUAGCCGAACGAAAAUGAUUUUUCGGGCCUCUUAAAUGCCUUUUUCACAAUUUAUUAGAAUGCUUUUACCUUUUGUGAGGGAGAAAUACGCACUCGAUAGACUACAACAUUGGCUUUCAUCUAAAAAUGGUUAAAUCAAACUUUUAUAAAAUUAUUAAAGUAUUUAUUACAAUUUAGAAGUCUAAAAAUAAUGUUUUUUAAAUAAAAAUUAGUAUUUGACGAUAUUUAGAAAACACUUUUAAAAAUUAUUUAUAAUGUUAAAAAAUAAUUUAUAAUAAUUUUUGGAGAAAUAUUUGAUAAAUGAUUUUCUUUUAGUGAAUCAAAAUCGAUUUAUAAACAUUGAGAGUUUUUUUUUAAUAUUUUUUAAAAUUAGUGGGUCAAAAAUUAAUUUUCCUUUUUCUUAAAAACACUUUAAAAAAUUAUUUUUAUUAAAAAUGUUUUGAAUAAAUAUGAUGUUCUAUAAAAAUUAUAUCAAAAGUAUAUUUGGAAUAACCUUUUUAACUUUUAGGUUUAGUGGUUGAAAAAAGAUAAAAUAAAAAUAAUUAUUAUUGCUAAAGGAUUAAAUUUUAUAUUUAAUAAUUAUAUUUGAAGAGUACUUUUAUUAAAGAUUUUUAAAAAAUUAGUUAAAUAUGGAUUUGCUUCCUAUGUCUUUUUUUUUUUUUUAAGUAAAAAACAUAGAUUUUUUUUUGAAGUGUGAAUAUUUCUUAGCCAAGUGUGGGGCCAACCUAAACAAGACUUACAAAAAUAGAUAUUUGAAAUUUAAAUUUAUUAUUUAUAAAUCAUUAUUAAUAAAAUUAUAAUUUUUUGUUUAUCAUGAUUGCAUAGUUCAAAUGGAUUUAAUAAGAAAACUAAAAAAAAUACAACCGCUUUUUCACUUUUUCUGAAUUAUAUUUUAAAUUCAUUAUUCUUUCAAUUUAAAAUCUAACAAUUAUUAAGUUUACAUAUAACUAACUCACUUCUUAAAUAUAUUUCAAUGUGCUUUUAAGGUAAAAAAAAUUAAGUAUUAAAAUUUUUAUUAUUGAAUUACAAUGGUUGAAAGUAUUUCCAAAAAUUUAAAUUUUGAAUUUAAUUGUUUUAGUAAAGAAAAAAAGUUUAAAAAUUAAGUAGCGAAGGAUUUAAUUUUGAAUUAUAAUUGCUAAAACUAUCUUUUAAAAUUUUAAAAUUUAAUUUAAUUUUUUUGACAAAGGGAAAAAAGGUUUCAAAACCAUCCAUUGUUCUUGCCAUAUUCAGUCACUAUUUGCUCAAGAACUACAAAUACGAUGUGAUAAAUCCAAAUGUUGUAGUGUUGUAUAUAAUUCAUUUAAAAUAACCUAUUUAAAUAUUUUAGUAUGUUAAUAUAACACAUACGUAGUGUUUGGUAAAAAUUAAUAUUUAUUAUUUAAUGACUUAAAUUGAUUUUAAAUUAAAUUAUAUUUAAGUUAUUAAAUUAAAAAUUAUUACUUUAUUAUUAUUUUAAAUAUUAAGGUUAUUUGAUAAAAUUAACUUAAAAUUUAUUCUAAAUCAUCAAAUUCACAUAUUUAUAAUUAUAAAUCAUAAUUUUGGUAAGGGAAGUCAAAUAACAAUGAAGAUCGUGGAAUAGCGAAAAAUAUCAUGAAGAUAACUAGGGCAAAUUGUGAUAAAAAAAGUAAAAUGAAGAUGUAGAUUUAAGAAUAAUUUAAUUAUUUUUACUUAUUACCUAAAGUUAUUUUUUACUUUAAGUCAUGUCAUUAAGUUAUUUUAUUAGAUAUGCUUAAUUUACUUAAUGACUUAAAUUAAGUUAUUAAAUUAUUUUAAGUUAUUAAGUUGGUUUACCAAAUAUUUACUUAUCUUAUCAUAAAAGGUCCAAUACAUAAAUUUCAUGAAUUUAUUUAUUCAAUUUUAGUAAAACAAUUUUAAUUUUAUAUCUACAUAUUAUAAAAGAUGCAAAAUAAAGUUGAUAAUUAACCUAAAGUCUACAAAAUAUGCAAAAUUCAAUUCAAAAGCCAACAAAAUUAGACCCAAAGAGGCCAUCUUUAUCACUUUAGGGGUCGGGGGUAAAUGGGGAAGGAGGUAGGGAUGGUUAGGGGGUAGGCAUACAACCAAGUCAAAGUAGUUUAUAAUUGACUCUCAAAGGCAUUGUUAUCAUUUGAAUGAUAUAAGUCCAUGGCCUAUUUUUGGUUCACUCGAAACUUUAGCAACCAUCAUAAGAGGUGUGAUAUACAUGCACCCAUUUCAAGGGGGUGCAACACUUCUCAGUUUGGGCCUCAUAUUUACCUGAUAUGCCAUCGUUGUAUAGUGGCGCAAUGUUACAUGUGAAUCCACUUUGGGAGGACAUCAUACAAAAGUUGUACAAAUUAGGACUUUAGUAUGGUUCUAUUUUGUUCAUCUAAUUGGAGAUUAUGUUUUUUUUUGCUUUUUUUUUUUUAGCUUCUUAUCAUUCUUCCUUGACAUACGAUAAAGAUUGGAGAUGCAUGGAUCUCAAAAGGGAUGAGUUUUAGAUGGAAAGGGCUCUCUUUGAAGGAAGAUUCUUUAGUUUUGUAAGCUAAAAUAGCUAGUUAAAGGCAAAAUGUGAUAUCCCAUAUCAAAUAAGAGAAAAAAUUAUCGGUACUAUAUAUGUAUAAACUUAUUUUAAUCUUGUAAAAGCGUUUUAAAGUUGUGAAGACCUUUUUGGGUUUAGAACAAAUAAUAUCUACAUAAUUGAGUGUAAGUUGUUACUAAUAUUAUCAGAGUCAAUCUUCUACUCUGGUGUAAGGAUUUGUUUGGCCCGUGGGUGAACCUAUUAUUGUACCCUUUGUGCAAGACAACAUACACAUACAUGUCAUAUCGAAUAUGGAUCAUUAACAUGUAUGUCUAAAUUUGAUUGGUUGAAUGGACUAACAUAGAGAAGAGACAUAAAGAAAUCAAACCAAUAUCAAAAACAAAUAAAAAAAAAGUCACUAUUGAAAAAUAAAACCUAUAAAACAAGGGUAUUAUUUUUUAUAUUACUAAAAAAAACUCCUUGGAUUACCAAUGGGACGAGUUUUUUCGGGCACCCAUCCCGUCCCGUCCCUAAUGGGACGAGAUUCAAUUUUAAUAAACGGGUUUGAGAUUUAUUUUAAAAACCCAGGACGGAUUCGAAUAUUGCCUCGUCUCAUCUCGAUUAUAUAUAAAAUUAAUUUAAUUUAAUUUUUAUUUUACUAUUUUUAAUAUAUAGAUGAUAAUGAAAUAUUUUUAAUAAAAUAAAUUAUAAAAAAUAUAAUAAUUUAAUUAUUUAUAAAAUAUAUUUUAUUUUAAUAUAAUUAAAAAUUUUAAAAGUAAUUUAAAAAAAUUCAAAAAGAAAAGUUUAAUGGAUGGGAUAUGGAAUUUAUUAUAUUCAUCCAUCCUAUUUAAUUUUUUAAAUGGGAUGAGAACGAGAAUUAUUUUAAAUUAACGGCGGGGUUCGGAUGGGGGACUCGUACCCAUUCCUAGCUUUGCUUGCUUUCCCAUCCUUUGUUUCUAUGUGUGUCGAGAGGGUCAACAAAAUUGGAGCUUGGAAAUGCCAAUUUUACCCUAGAGCAAGCAUUAAACAGGUGGCGGUAGAAGCGUACAAGAGCCGGAAUCGUCUUCACCCAGAAAUUGCUUUAAGCCGUCUAAUGCCAAUUUUACCCUAAAGCAAGCAUUAAACACGUGCCGUUAGAAGCGUACAAAGCCGGAGUCGUCUUCACCAUUGGGAUCCAUAUCUUUCACUAGGCAGGACUUAGGAGUAUUGUGGGCGCCUAUUUUGGGAUAUAUAAAAUAGAAGAGAAAACACGUGAGGAAAAAUCACCCACUGGGAGUUAGGGAGUUAGUACCGUAACUGUAAUUAAUAACGGCGGUCCCCACAGAAUAUUCUGCCCUCAUCCGAGUUCAUUGUCUCACCAACUCAGUUGCUUGGAAGCCAAGUUUCCGAGUUCACCCUCCACUGCUUCGCUUACAUAUUCUUCUCUUCACUCCCCUCUCUUUCAGAGAUCCAGAGCUCAAUCUUGUGAUUUGGCUCUGUCUUUUGGGUUUUCGUUCUCUGUUUCUCCCUUCUUCUCCAAAGGGGUUCGCCUCUCGAUCCUCUGUUUCUUGGUUUCCAUCCCCUCUGUUCUUUACUCUUUACUCCCUACUCCUCCUCUCUACUCCCUCUUCUCUCUCUUCACUUGGGGAUCGCGAAGUUAAUCGUCGGAUUCGCUUUCUUCCUAGGGUUUCAAAAUUUCUAUCCCCUGUUUUUGGUGUCUUCUCCUCCUCACUCCAUUCAGUGGUUUUCUCUGUUUCCUGGGUUUCAUCCCCUGUUUUCCCCUAAUGCCAAUUUUACCCUAAAGCAAGCAUUAAACGCGUGCCGUUAGAAGCGUACAAAGCCGGAAUCGUUUUCACCAUUGGGAUCCAUAUCUUUCACUAGGCAGGACUUGGGAGUAUUGUGGGCUCCUCUUUUGGGACAUAUAUAGCGCACCAAACACCCUCGAGGAUCAUCCCCCGUUUCCAAAGGAUUCCACGCCUCAAUCCCUGUUUCUUUCUGCUCCGUUUCUUCAGCAAUGGAAACUGCAGUCUCCAGUAAUCCCAAUUACAAUCCAGGAAGACACCUCCCUCCUCAACAGAGAGGAGGGAUCAAAAAACAGAUAUUCAAAGACUUUCUCGAAUAUGUUAGUGCCAUCGCGCUUUUACUGGGCCAGAUGGAAGCAAAUCAAGGGGAUAGUGGCGGUCGUCGCCUUAGCUCCGCCUCCGCACCUCUUCCUGAAAUCCCUCCUGGCUACACUUCAGAUCUGAGGCGUUGAUUCAUUAAAUUAGAUUUGGCGAUGGUUGUCUUUUGAUAUAUGCUUGGAUGCCGAGAAAAUUUCACAUUUCAUUCCAAUUUCUCCCUUCCUUCAGUUUGACAGAUCUGAGGAAAGUCGAUCGACGAUCGACGAUCGGAAGCGUUAUGAUUGGGUACUGUCCUCCAUGCCUGUAUAUAAAUCCAGAAAUCUUCUUGUAGAAACUUUGUAUUUUCACUUUGUACAUACUUCGUUAAUAAAGUGGAAUGAAUCAAUCAAUGUAUUAUUUGUAGGACCCCUCCCUCUGGGAAACACGUGGCACGCACCUCACAGUGACACGUGGCACGUGUUAUCAGCCGGACCAUCAUCAUCCGGAUUCCCCUAAGGAUACGCAUGAUGAUGGUUCUCCUAUCCGGACCGCCUCAAGGAAAAGCAAAUGACGUUUCAAUUUCUCCUAUCCAAGGAAGAGCAAAUGUCCCUGGCAAAACAUAGACAUCCGGACAACCUUCAUAAUGCAUCCACUCCAUAAUACAUCCGGAUAAUCAGCAUGUAUCGUCCGGAUAUAAUCGUCCGGAUGAUCAAUUAAAGUAAAACGAGUCUCACACGCUAUCACAACGAACAGUCAUGGCCCACAUCCCAUCAUCUGCAGAGUGAGAAGACAAGAUGAAGUGACAGCAAGUCACUUCCCACGAUCAUUCUACAUAAUCACUUCUCACGAUCUCUAACAGCCGCAUCACCUACCAUGGUUUCUGACAGCCGUUCGUAGGGUGAUGAUGCUCCUACUGACGCCUAUUAUCAUCAUAACAACAUAAAAUAUCUUCUCACCAUUAAUGAGGAGAACAGUACCCCUGAAGCUGUAUAUAUAAAGCCUUCAGACAAAGAAGAAGGCGAUCCGCUGGUAACCUCCUGAUACCUAGUAAAAGGCCAACUGAUGUAUAUCUCUCUCUGACCAUGGCUAACAAAACCAUCAGAGGGUGCGUCCGGACACCCUGUCCGGAUGCCUUCUUGCAGGUAUAACGGCUGGAUCAAGAACCUUUAUGGGUUGAAAUCACGCGUCCAUCCAUCUGGCAACUACGUGGAUCAUCAAAGACGCGAGGUACCAACAUUAUUGAUUUCUGGAUUUCUGUGAUAUGAAAUGCGUCCAUGAAUUUGCAAAUGAAUCCGAAGAUCAUCUAUGCCACCGCCUCCUUCACUCUUCCAAAUUGUUUUCGCUUUAUAAUUGUGCAUAAUUCAGUUUUGAGCUGCCAAAAUCUCGUAGGGACACUUUCAAUUAUGCACUGAGUCAGUAUUGUCUUUUCAAAUUUUAUUUUAUUUUAUUUUUCUCCAGGCCAGCUGGAAAUAUCUCCGGUUGGAUUUCAUUUCAUUUUUUUUAAGAGAAAAUCAAUUUAGAAGUUAUAAAUAGGAAGACCAUGGAAUCUUCCUCCGCCGUAGACAAACGAGGGAAAAGUCUGGAUACAACUGUAUCUGCCGUACAACUACCUACUUCCUCAUGCAUUUUAGCACGUGCGAGAACUCAACCCUGUAGAAUGAUCUAUAUUCCAUGUACCUUAAUUUAGGUGAUAUUUGUUAAAACUAAAAAUUAAAUACUGAAUGUAUAAAUUAGUAUUUAUCAUUAUUUAUUUUGAAUUAGGUAUAAAUAAAUCAUUGGAUCUUAGGGUUAUUCAUUGGGCAUUAAUCAUUUUGGUUAUUUAGCUAUUAUGAGAGUUGUAUGUGGAGAGUUUCGACUAUAAGUCCUUCCUUGAUGAGGAAUGCUUGCGAAAUUUGUUUGAAUGAAUGUGUAAGACCAUUUUUAAUUAAGAAUGUCUCAUCAAUAUAACAAUGAUACUAAAAAACGUAUAUUUAAUACGUUAUGAUAGGAGAGGGUGACCCAUUAAAAUAACAUGACAAGUAGCGGUCUUAGAUUAAGAUUACCGCAUUUAUCAACCUUUUGCUUUAUCCUAACAUGAUUACGAUGUCAACCAAUUACAUACUUGCUAAUGAACUAUUCGAAAGAGAGAAGGUAUGAGAGCGUGACCCAUUAAAAUGACAUGGCAAGUAGAGGCCUUAGAUUACCGCGUUUAGCCUUUUGCUUUAUGCAUUGAUUAUAAUGUCAAUCAAUUACAUGUUAAUGAAACUCUUUGAAAAUGAAAAGUUAAGAGAGGAUGGUUGUUGUUGUAGUAUGUGGCUUAUAUCGAGUGAAAAACAUAUAGCGAAAAAUGGAUAAAUAUUAUAGCGGAGUAAUAUUUGUCAUGGUCAACGCCUUCCUCUUCUCACAAUAUGGUUUAUGGGUAUUUUUGAAAUUUCAUUUCUUAAAGAUUAAUAUAAAUACCUUUUUAUGUAAUCUUAAUUUGAGAUAUCGUGAAAUUUUUUUUUUCAAGUCCCUAUUAAAAUGACAUGACAAGUGGGGACCUUAGAUCACUCCUUUUUGCUUGAUCCUAGCAUGAUUACGAUGUUAGUCAAUUACAUACUUAUUAAUGAACUCUUUAAGGAAAGCUAGACAUAUUUAUUUCAAAUUGAGGCUAUAUUUGUCCCUUUUACAAAGUAGGGUUGUUUGUUACAUCAAGUGCAUCACCCAAUGCCCAAAUCCCAUGUAUGGUGGUUUUCACCGUCAAAAAAUGACUCAAAAGCUAUCAAUUUUUAUGAAUAUUUGGGACUAAAUUAUGAAUUUAUGGUCCCACGCGGCUUCAAAUGCGGAUAGGUCUAUUCAUGCAAACAAAAGGACUAGUACUUUUGAUAAUGAUGGCUUUGAUAUGAUUUCUGAUUUAUGGUUUGUUUUGCUUUGAGAAUGGUGGGUGGUGGGAAAUUGUUUUUUUAGCCGAACGAAAAUGAUUUUUCAGGCCUCUUAAAUGCCUUUUUCAUAAUUUAUUGGAAUGCUUUUAUCUUUUGUGAGGGAGAAAUACGCACUCGAUAGAUUACAACAUUGGCUUUCAUCUAAAAAUGGUUAAAUCAAACUUAUAAAAGUAUUAAAGUAUUUAUUACAAUUUAAAAGUCUAAAAAAAUGUUUUUUAAAUAAAAAUUAGUAUUUGACGAUAUUUAAAAAACACUUUUAAAAAUUAUUUAUAAUGUUAGAAAAUAAUUUAUAGUGAUUUUUGGAGAAAUAUUCUAUAAAUGAUUUUUUUUAAUGAAUCAAAAUCGAUUUAUAAAAGUUGAGAGUUUUUUUUUUAAUAUUUUUUUAAAUUAGUGAGUCAAAAAUUAAUUUUCCUUUUCUUAAAACACUUUAAAAAAUUAUUUUUAUUAAAAAUAUUUUGAAUAAAUAUGAUGUUCUAUAAAAAUUAUAUCAAAAGUAUAUUUGGAAUAACCUUUUUAACUUUUAGGUUUAGUGGUUGAAAAAAGAUAAAAUAAAAAUAAUUAUUAUUGCUAAAUGAUUAAAUUUUAUAUUUAAUAAUUAUAUUUGAAGAGUACUUUUAUUAAAAAAAAUUUAAAAAUUAGUUAAAUAUGGAUUUGCUUCCUAUGUCUUUUUUUUUUUUUAAGUGUGAAUAUUUCUUAGCCAAGUGUGGGGCCAACCUAAACAAGACUUACAAAAAUAGAUAUUUGAAAUUUAAAUUUAUUAUUUAUAAAUCAUUAUUAAUAAAAUUAUAAUUUUUUGUUUAUCAUGAUUGCAUAGUUCAAAUGGAUUUAAUAAGAAAACUAAAAAAAAAUACAACCACUUUUUCACUUUUUGUGAAUUAUAUUUUAAAUUCAUUAUUCUUUCAAUUUAAAAUCUAACAAUUAUUAGGUUUAUAUAUAACUAACUCACUUCUUAAAUAUAUUUCAAUGUGCUUUUAAGGUUAAAAAAAAAUUAAGUAUUAAAAUUUUUAUUAUUGAAUUACAAUGGUUGAAAGUAUUUCCAAAAAUUUAAAUUUUGAAUUUAAUUGUUUUAGUAAAGAAAAAAAGUUUAAAAAUUAAGUAGUGAAGGAUUUAAUUUUGAAUUAUAAUUGCUAAAACUAUCUUUUAAAAUUUAAAAUUUUCAUUUCAUUUAUUUGACAAAGGAAAAAAAGGUUUCAAAACCAUCCAUUAUUCUUGCCAUAUUCAGUCACUAUUUGCUUAAGAACUACAAAUACGAUGUGAUAAAUCCACAUGUUAUAUGUUGUAUAUAAUUAAUUUAAAAUAACUUAUUUAAAUUUUUUAGUAUGUUAAUAUAACACUUACGGGGUGUUUGGUAAAAAUUAAUAUUUAUUAUUUAAUGACUUAAAUUGAUUUUAAAUUAAAUUAUAUUUAAGUUGUUAACUUAAAAAUUAUUACUUUAUUAUCACUUUAAGUAUCAAGGUUAUUUGAUAAAAAUAACUUAAAAUUUAUUCUAAAUCAUCAAAUUGACAUAUUCAUAAUUAUAAAUUAUAAUUAUGGUAAGGGAAGUCAAAUAACAAUGAAGAUCGUGGAAUAGCGAAAAAUAUCAUGAAGAUAACUGGGGCAAAUUGUGAUAAAAAAAUAAAAUGAAGAUGUAGAUUUAAGAAUAAUUUAAUUAUUUUUACUUAUUACCUAAAGUUAUUUUUUACUUUAAGUAAUGUCAUUAAGUUAUUUUAUUAGAUAUGCUUAAUUUACUUAAUGACUUAAAUUAAAUUAUUAAAUUAUUUUAAGUUAUUAAGUUGGUUUACCAAAUAUUUACUUACCUUAUCAUAAAAGGUCCAAUACAUAAAUUUUAUGAAUUUAUUUAUUCAAUUUUAGUAAAAUAAUUUUAAUUUUAUAUCUACAUAUUAUAAAAGAUGCAAAAUAAAGUUGAUAAUUUAACCUAAAGUCUACAAAAGAUGCAAAAUCCAAUUCAAAAGCCAACAAAAUUAGACCCAAAGAGCCUAUCUUUACCACUUUAGGGGUUGUGGAUAAAUGGGGAAGGAGGUAGGGAUGGUUUGGGGGUAGGCAUACAACCAAGUCAAAGUAGUUUAUAAUUGACUCUCAAAGGCAUUGUUAUCAUUUGGUUGAUAUAGGUCCAUGGCCUAUUUUUGGUUCACUCGAAACUUUAGCAACCAUCAUAAAAGGUGUGAUAUACAUGCACCCAUUUCAAGGGGGUGCUACACUUCUCAGUUUGGGCCUCAAAUUUACUUGAUAUGCCAUCGUUGUAUAGUGGCGCAAUGUUAUAUGUGAAUCCACUUUGGGAGGACAUCAUACAAAAGUUGUACAAAUUAGGACUUUAGUAUAGUUCUAUUUUGUUCAUCUAAUUGGAGAUUAUGUUACUUUUUGCUCUCUUUUUUAGCUUCUUAUCAUUCUUCUUGGACAUACGAUAAAGAUUGAAGAUGCAUGAAUCUCAAAAGGGAUUGAGUUUUAGAUGAAAAUGGCUCUCUUUGAAGGAAGAUUCUUUAGUUUUGUAAGCUAAAAUAGCUAGUUAAAGACAAUAUGUAAUAUCCCACAUCAAAUAAGGGAGAAAGUUUUCGACACUAUAUAUGUAUAAACUUAUUUUAACCUUGUAAACACGUUUUAGCCAAUCUUUGAUCCUAGUAUAAGGGUUUGUUUGGCCCUAUAAGGGGUGUGUCUAUUUGACCCCAUAAUACCAUAGGACACAAUAAAAACGUUGUAUUUGCAUGAGGAGUGAUAGUAAUAUCAUAUAUCGGAUGAAGGAAAAAGUUUCUAACGCUAUAUAUGUAUGAGUUCCUCUUAAUCUUGUAAAUGGUUUUUAAAGCUGUGAGGAUCUCCUUGGGUUUAGAAUGAAUAAUAUAUAUACGAUUGGGUGUAAAUCAUUACAUCAAAGACUAUGUUUUCAUAAACUUUGAGUCAAAGAGAGGCAAAUGCAAUAGAUAGGCUUCGAUCAUCAAUGAAGCAAAGAUCCCACUUCACGUGACUAGAGAGGUAGAUAAUGAACCCACAAUACUUUCAAUGAAAGAGAAGGUAGUAAUUAACUAGGUUCACCCAAUUUGGACAAGAAAAUGAAUAGUUAGUGUAGAGUAGGUUUGCAUGUUGGGCAUUCUUGGAAUCAUUGAUUUCCUCUAUGUUGAUAGAUCCUUUAUAUUUGACUUGAUGAAAUCACACUAUUGAGUGAACUUCUUUUUUAUGUUCCUCUUAAAAUUCCUAAUGUCUUUUACUUCAAUCUAAAAUGUAUUUUUUCAAUCACUUUGUUAUCAUUAUGAAAGUACAAUGAGAGAGUGAUUAUGGACCAUCCUGAUCUACGAAACCUUAGUGGAAGAAGAGGAGGGUUCACAUCACUUGCCAUAGUAUUAAGCUUGGAACCAAUCUCUACUUCUCAACUAUCCAACUUAUUUCUCUCAUGCCCCUUCCAUAUAAUAUUUGUCAAGUUGACUUUCUUACUAAGUUACCAAAUAAGAUAAUUUGUAAAGUUCUACUAAGUUAUUAAAUAAGACAAUUUGUAAAGUUGCAUUACAAAGUAAUUGGAAAACAAAGAUAUGGGUGAACCUACUAUAGUACCUUUUGUGCAAGACAACAUACACAUGCAUAUCAUAUCGAAUAUGAAUCUUUAAUAUGUAUGUCUAAAUUUGAGUGGUUGAAUGGACUACAUAGAAAAGAGAGAGAGACUAAGACAUAAAGAAAUCAAACCAAUAUUAAAAAAAAAAAUUAAAAUUUAAAAUCUCUAUUAAAAAAUAAAACCUAUAAAACAAGGGUAUUAUUUUUUAUACUGCUGAAAAAAGCUCCUUGGAUUACCUUUGCUUUGCUUGCUUUCCCAUCCUUUGUUUCUAUGUGUGUCGAGAGGGUCAACAAAAUUGGAGCUUGGAAAUGCCAAUUUUACCCUAGAGCAAGCAUUAAACAGGUGGCGGUAGAAGCGUACAAGAACCGGAAUCGUCUUCACCCAGAAAUUGCUUUAAGCCACCUAAUGCCAAUUUUACCCUAAAGCAAGCAUUAAACACGUGCCGUUAGAAGCGUACAAAGCCGGAGUCGUCUUCACCAUUGGGAUCCAUAUCUUUCACUAGGCAGGACUUAGGACUAUUGUGGGCGCCUAUUUUGGGAUAUAUAAAAUAGAAGAGAAAACACGUGAGGAAAAAUCACCCACUGGGAGUUAGGGAGUUAGUACCGUAACUGUAAUUAAUAACGGCGGUCCCAACAGAAUAUUCUGCCCUCAUCCGAGUUCAUUGUCUCACCAACUCAGUUGCUUGGAAGCCAAGUUUCCGAGUUCACCCCCCACUGCUUCGCCUACAUAUUCUUCUCUUCACUCCCCUCUCUUUCAGAGAUCCAGAGCUCAAUCUUGUGAUUUGGCUCUUUCUUUUGGGUUUUCGUUCUCUGUUUCUCCCUUCUUCUUCUCCAAAGGGGUUCGCCUCUCGAUCCUCUGUUUCUUGGUUUCCAUCCCCUCUGUUCUUUACUCUUUACUCCCUACUCCUCCUCUCUACGCCCUCUUCUCUAUCUUCACCAGGGGAUCGCGAAGUUAAUCGUCGGAUUCGCUUUCUUCCUGGGGUUUCAAAUUUUCUAUCCCCUGUUUUUGGUGUCUUCUCCUCCUCACUCCAUUGAGUGGUUUUCUCUGUUUCCUGGGUUACAUCCCCUGUUUUCCCCUAAUGCCAAUUUUACCCUAAAGCAAGCAUUAAACGCGUGCCGUUAGAAGCGUACAAAGCCGGAAUCGUCUUCACCAUUGGGAUCCAUAUCUUUCACUAGGCAGGACUUAGGAGUAUUGUGGGCGCCUGUUUUGGGACAUAUAUAGCGCACCAAACACCCUCGAGGAUCAUCCCCCGUUUCCAAAGGAUUCCACGCCUCAAUCCCUGUUUCUUUCUGCUCUGUUUCUUCAGCAAUGGAAACUGCAGUCUCCAGUAAUCCCAAUUACAAUCCAGGAAGACACCUCCCUCCUCGACAGAGAGGAGGGAUCAAAAAACAGAUAUUCAAAGACUUUCUUAAAUAUGUUAGUGCCAUCGCGCUUUUACUGGGCCAGAUGGAAGCAAAUCAAGGGGAUAGUGGCGGUCGUCGCCUUAGCUCCGCCUCCGCACCUCUUCCUGAAAUCCCUCCUGGCUACACUUCAGAUCUGAGGCGUUGAUUCAUUAAAUUAGAUUUGGCGAUGGUUGUCUUUUGAUAUAUGCUUGGAUGCCGAGAAAAUUUCACAUGUCAUUCCAAUUUCUCCCUUCCUUCAGUUUGACAGAACUGAGGAAAGGCGAUCGACGAUCGACGAUCGGAAACGUUAUGAUUGGGUACUGUCCUCCAUGCCUGUGUAUAUAAAUCCAGAAAUCUUCUUGUAGAAACUUUGUAUUUUCACUUUGUACAUACUUCGUUAAUAAAGUGGAAUGAAUCAAUCAAUGUAUUAUUGAUUUCUGGACUUCUGUGAUAUGAAAUGCGUCCAUGAAUUUGCAAAUGAAUCCGAAGAUCAUCUAUGCCACCGCCUCCUUCACUCUUCCAAAUUGUUUUCGCUUUAUAAUUGUGCAUAAUUCAGUUUUGAGCUGCCGUUGGUUGCCAAAAUCUCGUAGGGACACUUUCAAUUAUUCACUGAAUCAUCCAUGGUUCUUGCUAUCUCAGAUUGAAUUUUUUUUUCCCUUUUAGGGAAAUGCAUUUAUGUUUCUUAAAUUCUUUUGCAUAUAGGUUAAAGAUUUAUUUAUUUUCAAUUAGAAGUGUAAUGACUCCGAAGUUCCUUCCAAAUAUCUGGAACCCAACUGAAAAUUGCAAUGUUUGGAGAAUAAAACCCCAUCUAACUGGGGGAAUUUUCGUGGAAGAUUAAAAAAUAAAUAAAUUUUUGAAAUUUUUUUAAAUAUAUAUAUAUAAAAUGAAAUCCAAGUUGCGAAAUUCAGCCUUCUAGAAUGAUAUUUCUUUGUUGUUAAGUAAAGUAUAAAAUGGGUUGUAACUGGAUUUUUUUUACUUCGGAAGAUGACGAACAACAUGUGUCAUAAUAAAAAAAGACCCUCUUGUCCUUUGUGGUUGAAUCCUGUUGGGGGCUGAGUUCAGUCCAUCCCAAUCAUAAGUUGUCUUUUUGGGAAAUCCAAAGAAAAUUUAUAACUUUACGUUAAAAGUAAAAAAAUUAAAAACCAACAAUUCUCUUCUCUUUGAAUGUAGGCACUUUAAAUAAGGCUUCUCUGGAGACUUUAAGUUAAUGAAGACAAAGAAUAUAGAAGUUAAAUGAUCAAAGCUAAAUUAAUUUUACAUUCCUACACACCCUACAAACACAAUGGUCACGGCUCAUAAAUUUUUUUUCCCAAAUUGAAGAGUAUAAUAAUUUUUAUAAAAUUUUCCAAGCGAGGGAAUUUGAUUCAAAAAGCGGUGAUUAAUGAAAAAGGAUCAUAUAACAAAAAAAAAAAAAGUCAAUUUAUUAGUGCCUUGAGUAAAAUAUUUCAAUUUGAAGAGAAAACACGUGAGGAAAAAUCACCCACUGGGAAGUUAGGGAGUUAGGGAGUUAGUACCGUAACUGUAAUGAAUUACGGCGGUCCACACAGAAUAUUCUGCCCUCAUGACUCAUCCGAGUUCAUUGUCUCACCAAGUCAGUUGCUUGGAAGCCAAGUUUCCGAGUUCAGCCCACUGCUUGGCCUACAUAUUCUUCUCUUCACUCACCUCUCUUUCAGAGAUCCACAGCUCAAUCUUGUGAUUUUGCUCUUUCUUUUGGGUUUUCGUUCUCCAUUUCUCCCUUCUUCUCCGAAGGGGUUCGCCUCUCGAUCCUCUGUUCUUUACUCUUUACUCCCUACUUCUCCUCUCUACGCCCUCUUCUCUCUCUUCACCGAGGGAUCGCGAAGUUAAUCGUCGGAUUCGCUUUCUUCCUGGGGUUUCAAAAUUUCUAUCCCCUGUUUUUGGUGUCUUCUCCUCCUCACUCCAUUCAGUGGUUUUCUAUGUUUCCUGGGUUUCAUCCCCUGUUUUCCCCUAAUGCCAAUUUUACCCUAAAGCAAGCAUUAAACGCGUGCCGUUAGAAUCGUACAAAGCCAGAAUCGUCUUCACCAUUGGGAUCCAUAUCUUUCACUAGGCAGGACUUAGGAGUAUUGUGGGCGCCUGUUUUGGGAUAUAUAUAGCGCACCAAACACCCUCGAGGAUCAUCCCCCAUUUCCAAAGGAUUCCACGCCUCAAUCCCUGUUUCUUUCUGCUCUGUUUCUUCAGCAAUGGAAACUGCAGUCUCCAGUAAUCCCAAUUACAAUCCAGGAAGACACCUCCCUCCUCAACAGAGAGGAGGGAUCAAAAAACAGAUAUUCAGAGACUUUCUCAAAUAUGUUAGUGCCAUCGCGCUUUUACUGGGCCAGAUGGAAGCAAAUCAAGGGGAUAGUGGCGGCCGUCGCGUUAGCUCCGCCUCCGCACCUCUUCCUGAAAUCCCUACUGGCUACACUUCAGAUCUGAGGCGUUGAUUCGUUAAUUAGAUUUGGCGAUGGCUGUCUUUUGAUAUAUGCUUGGAUGCCGAGAAAAUUUCACAUUUCAUUCCAAUUUCAUUCCAAUUUCUCCCUUCCUUCAGUUUGACAGAACUGAGGAAAGUCGAUCGACGAUCGACGAUCGGAAGCGUUAUGAUUGGGUACUGUCCUCCCCUGUAUAUAAAUCCAGAAAUCUUCUUGUAGAAACUUUGUACUUUCACUUUGUACAUACUUCGUUAAUAAAGUGGAAUGAAUCAAUCAAUGUAUUAUUGAUUUCUGGAUUACUGUGAUAUGAAAUGCGUCCAUGAAUUUGCAAAUGAAUCCGAAGAUCAUCUAUGCCACCGCCUCCUUCACUCUUCCAAAUUGUUUUCGCUUUAUAAUUGUGCAUAAUUCAGUUUUGUGCUGCCGUUGGUUGCCAAAAUCUCGUAGGGACACUUUCAAUUAUGCACUGAAUCAUCCAUGGAAUCCACCAAACCGGCAAUUCCUAUACAUGGUUCUUGCUAUCUCAGAUUGAAAUUUUUUUUUUCCCUUUGAGGGAAAUGCAUUUAUGUUUCUUAAAUUCUUUUGCAUAUAGGUUAAAGAUUUAUUUAUUUUCAAUUAGAAGUGUAAUGACUCCGAAGUUCCUUCCAAGUAUCUGGAACCCAACUGAAAAUUGCAAUGUUUGGAGAAUAAAAUCGCAUCUAACUGGGGGAAUUUUCGUGGAAGAUUAAAAAAUAAAUAAAAUUUUGAAUUUUUUUAAUAUAUGUAUAUAUAUAUAUAUAUAAAAUGAAACCCACGUUGCGAAAUUCAGCCUUCUAGAAUGAUAUUUCUUUGUUGUUAAGUAAAGUAUAAAAUGGGUUGUAACUGGAAAUGUUAUUUUAUUUUAUUUUUAUAGGCGUUACUCAUUUUUAUUUUAUUUUUUUUUACUUCAGAAGAUGACGAACAACAUGUGUCAUAAUAAAAAUACCCUUUUGUCCUUUGUGGUUGAAUCCUGUUGGGGGCUGAGUUCAGUCCAUCCCAAUCAUAAGUUGUCUUUUUGGGAAAUCCAAAGAAAAUUUAAAACUUUAUGUUAAAGUAAAAAAAUUAAAAACCAACAAUUCUCUUCUCUUUGAAUGUCGGCAUUUUAAAUGAGGCUUCUCUCGUGACUUUAAGUUAAUGAAGACAAAGAAUAUAGAAGUUAAAUGAUCAAAGCUAAAUUAAUUUUACAUUCCUACACACCCUACAAAACAAUGGUCACGGCUCUUAAAUUUUUUUUCCCAAAUUGAAGGGUAUAUUAAUUUUUAAAAUUUUUUCCAAGUGAGGGAAUUUGAUUCAAAAAGCGGUGAUUAAUGAAAAAGGAUCAUAUAACAAAAAAAAAAAAAAAAGUCAAUUUAUUAGUGCCUUGAGUAAAAUAUUUAAAUUUGAAGAGAAAACACGUGAGGAAAAAUCACCCACUGGCAGUUAGGGAGUUAGUACUGUAACUGUAAUGAAUUACGGCGGUCACACAGAAUAUUCUGCCCUCAUCCGAGUUCAUUGUCUCACCAACUCAGCUGCUUGGAAGCCAAGUUUCUGAGUUCAGCCCCACUGCUUGACCUAUAUAUUCUUCUCUUCACUCACCUCUCUUUCAGAGAUCCAGAGCUCAAUCUUGUGAUUUUGCUCUUUCUUUUGGGUUUUCGUUCUCUAUUUCUCCCUUCUUCUUCUCCGAAGGGGUUCGCCUCUCGAUCCUCUGUUUCUUGGUUUCCAUCCCUCUGUUCUUUACUCUUUACUCCCUACUCCUCCUCUCUACGCCCUCUUCUUUCUCUUCACCGAGGGAUCGCGAAUUUAAUCGUCGGAUUCGCUUUCUUCCUGGGGUUUCAAAAUUUCUAUCCCCUGUUUUUGGUGUCUUCUCCCUACUCCAUUCAGUGGUUUUCUCUGUUUCCUGGGUUCCAUCCCCUGUUUUCCCCUAUCUUUUAUUUAGCUUCGAAACUGUUCAAACCCAUCUCCUGCAAAUGGAUACUCCAGUGUCUAUUUCCAAAGACAGACCAGAACGACGCUUCCCUCCACCUAGAGGACGAGUCAAAAAAGAAAUUUUCAAAAGCCUGGUGAAAUCUUUCGGCACAGUUGCAGGAAGGGCGAGUGGGGCGAUAAGGAAGCGAGAAGAAAAUGGUGGUCGGCUCAGCUCGACCUCCACUACUCCCGCUGAAACUCCCAGUGGAUACAGCUCAGAUGGGUAGUCUUGAUCCACUGAAUUCAUAUUUCUCAACUCCCCUGUACAGUUGGUGAACGCUGACCUGCGAUGCUAUUUGGAUUCCUAGAAAGUGUUUCAUUUUUUCAUUUUCUUGUUCCUUUUCUUUCGAUGGAAAGAGAAGAGGCGUUGAAGAUUGGAAUUCUCUGUUGAUUGUUGUAAUAUAAAAAUAAAAUCAUGAGCCCAGAGAUGUUCUCAUCUGUAAACAUAUGAUUCUGGUGUUCCGAGCCUGUGUCAUUUUAGCAAAUUUUGGAACAAUAUUAAUUCAUGGAAAUGUGACGAGAAUGAUGAUUUGUUCUCCCAGUUUUCUCAAACACUUGCUACAUUUUUUUUUUUCUCAGAUUCUCUGUUCUUCAUUGAAAGCAGAGGAAAAUAAGUUCAUAUCUACUAGGAUAGAUCUUGAAGAUAAUGCAUAUAAUUCAGAUCAUGGGGUCUGUUUGGAUCGGAUGAUUUUCGAUUCUCUUGAAAAUUUGAACUCCUAAAUCGCCAAUCUCCCUACAGCAACAUUUGGUUUAAGUUCUCUGUUUAAGUCAAUACAAGAACAAUAUUUUGCUAUUCGGUCAGGUAUUUUAAAACCUAUUUGAUUUGAUUUGUAUACGCCUUUUGGAAGGUCCCUUUCCUUCAUUCUUAUACACAAUCUUUUAUUAGGUUCUAAUAAUUAAAAUAAUUUGAUUAUGAUUAAUUUAAGCAUGGAAGUUAGGGUUAUGAAAAAAGAUAAUGUAUUUUAAGUUUCAAGAAUGGGCAUCAUUAAGAAAAUAACAAAGAGAGUGAGUCAGUUGAGGGCGGCCCAGCCGAGGGUGGCCCAGCCUUUUGGGCACAGGUUACCAUGCAAUACUAGGCUGGGGACGCCUGCAGUGAAUAAAUUAUAUCAUCUCAGUCCCAUGUGACUUCAACACGGUCUCCCUCAAGACUCUCAAUAAGUCAUCCUUACGUGAAUUUGUUAGUUGAAUAAUUUGAGAAAAAAAAUAUUAAAAAAAAAGGAGAAAAAUAGGGGGAAAUAAAAUAUAUAUAUUUAAGUCAUCCUUACAUAUUUAUUUUUUAUUUUUUAAAAAUAAAUAUGUAUGAACGGUCAUAUCAUAGCCUCUUGUAACUCAAUAAGUUGUUGGUAACAAUUCUUGUAAUAAUUAUAGUAGGCUAAAAUUGAUGUAUUAAUGUAUAUUUUUUAUUUUGUUUUUUAAGGUUUGCUUGAUAGUAAUUUUAUAAAAUGUUUUUAACUUUUUUUAACAUUUAAGAAAUAUUUAUUUUUUUAAGUGUUAGAAACAAAUUCAAGUGCUAAAAAAAAUUAAAAACAUUUUCUAGAAUUAUUGACAAAUAGACUACUACUAUGCUAAAAAUUUCAAAAUAUCGUGAUAAAACCAUUUUUUAAAAUUAUUGUUAAAUAGAUUUUAUAUCAUUACAUGUAUUUUAAUUUUAAUAAUAUGUUAUAUUAAUGUCUAAGUUGGUAAUUAUGUGUUGUAUUAAAAUUAGUGAGAAACUUAUAUAUAUUAAAAUUAUUUCAUCACUAUAUCGAAAAAAAUAAAUUAAAUUAAAUCAUUUUAAAAUAAUAUAUAAAAAUAAUUUAUUGAUUUUUUUUAAAAAAAUUUCUCUCUCCUUUUUUCUUGUAUUUUCUCUCAAAUUUUUUAAAAAUCAAACAUUGCCUUAAUUACAUAAUAAAGAAUCUCAGAACAUAAAAAUAUUUUUAAAUGUUAAUAUUUUUAUCAUCACUAAAAUUGAUAGUUACUCCAUAGAAGUCAGCCUUCCAGAAUAUGGAAGCUGGUGUUCCUUGGUCCUUAAGCGAAAAGGAUGUCUGUGGUAUUUUACCACAAGGAAUAGAAUAUGAUUGGACUAGAUUUGGCCUUCAGUUUCUUUUGACUGACCAUAUCUAGAAUCGAAAUCCUAGCUGGCAACAAAAGACACAUUGACUGAGUCAAGCUAAACCUUCUUUAUUGACUCAACAACAACUCUCGAUAAAAAGAAUCACUGUAAGAUGAUAUUUUACAAUUGGGUCAAAGCUAAUGUUUGUUUAGGAUAAAAAAAUAGACACUACCCUACCCUUUUCCUUCCUUGGUUGAUAGAAAAUAAUAUGGGAGUGAAAGGCAUUGUAAGGUAGACCUUUUUGAUAGGUUACGAAAAGGCAUCCCUAAUAAAAUGUGUUAACUGGUUUCAUAAUUUUAUAUCUGAAUCUUAAUCAUUUGAAUUUUAUAUAUGUCCUAAUAUUUUAUGCCUGGAUGACAAUUUCGAAACGGGUCGUUCUCAUCUCAACUUUGCCUAUUUAAUUCUUUAAAAAAAAAUUAUUUUUAAAAUUUUAAAUUAUAUUAAAAUAAAUAUAUUUUAUAAAUAAUUAAAAUAUUAUAAUUUUUUAUAACUUAUUUUAUUAGAAAAAAUUAUUAUUAUUAUAUAUUAAAAAUAGAAAAAUUUAAAAAUUAUUGGAUUUAUCAAAAUUCUAAAGGCUUGAUUUCAUAUUGCUAAAAAUUUUAGAAAAAAUAUAGAUAUGUAAAGGAAAAGUACUGAUCAUGAUUCAUUCAAAACUAGUUUUGUUCUUCUUUUUUUUUGUUUUAAUUGGUUUUAUUUUUUAGUUUUAAAUUAUUUUUAAAAAUUACUAAAUUCAUUUAAAAUAAAUUCAAUGCAUUAAGUUUUGCUCAAUUUGAAGUUCAUUUGCUAGUAAAAAAAAUCUUAAAAUAUAAUCAUGUUUAAAAAAGAAAUAACAAACUCUUUUUGUACUAGUUUUAGUUUGUGAAUUUUUUUAUACUAACCGGGUUUUUAAGUUUCAAAUUAGUUUUUAUAUAAACUUGUAAACAAAUACAAUGCAUUAAAUCUUAAUAAUUUAUUUUAGACAAAAUUUUUGUCUAUUAAUGUUUAUGUGAACUCGCAUUUUUCAAAUGCACUCCCAAUCAAUGCCAAGACUAGUUUUUAUUGUGAAAAAACAUUUUUAAAAGAAAAUAAAAAUAAAGUUAUUACUUAUUUUUGUGUGUUUUUUUUAAGGAAAAUAAAAUAAAAUAAGAAAUAAAAUCUUAAAGUGUUUACUUUAAAAAGGAAAAACAUGCCUAUAAAAAUCGAGUUUAAGCCUAAGAGUUAGCUUACUUAUUGAAAAGGAACUAGAGGGUAAUAUCCCUCUAAACCCCUAAAAAUGUCUCUUUUAAACAAGCAAACAAAAUUAUAACGAUCAAUUAAUCACAAAUAUCAAUAAAAAGUAUGAGACAAGUACAUACAAACAAGAUAAGAUGAAAAACAAAUUAUAAUGAUAUAAAACAUUGGCAAAGGGAUUGCACAAAUUAACUUAUUAGACUUUUUUUUUAAAUGAUUAUUUUCAAAUAUUACAAGAUUUGCAAAGAAGAACUUUAUUCACUAAAAUCAAUUUCUAGUUAAUGAUUUCAAUUUAUUUAUUCACAAAAAAAAUUGAUUUUUAUUUUGGUUCAAAUUUGUUUCCAAAAUGACGUUUCCUUACUUUUAUUGAAAGAGUUUAUUAAGAGUCUAUAUAAUACAAUAACUUAGUAAAUUAUAACAACUUGAUAGUCUUAUAUCAAAAUUCACAGUAGGUCUAGUCUAAUGUGUAACUAUACACACUAGUGCACUCACAAUGAGAAAUUUAUCCCAACGGUCAAGACAAGUCAUUCAUUUAAUUUGGAUGUAAUGCAUUACAGUUUCUAUAGAAUUGCUCAAAUUUAUAAACUGGCCAUGAAUUACUUAUCAUUUUGCAAAGAACUCAUGAUUUAUAUCUUUUAUGCAACUUUUAAUACAUGCAAGUCAUAUACAAUACAAGUGAAACGAGCAUACUCAAAUCAAAAUCAAUGCAAAAAGCAAAUAGAAAGUCAAGUCUAAUUUUAUUACAUCAUAUCUUAUUUUUAAGGGUUUUAUCCCAACACUUGAAGCCUUCAAAGAUUCAUAACAACCUUGUUGACGAUUCAAGACCUAGCUUGAAAAUUCAAAAUCACUCUUGAGAAGAGUUGGAGAGACCACCUACAAGAUUCAAAAUGCACUUCAAGCCUUCAAAGAUUUAUAAGCUCUUCAAACUUUCAAAGAUUAAAGAACAAGUUUGAAGGUCUAAAAAACAAGUUUGAAAAGAUUCAAAAAAACUCUUCAAGCACUUGAAAAUUAAAGAACAAGUUUGAAGGUCCAAAAAAACAAGUUCAAAAUAUCUUCAAUUUGAGAUCAAAUAUUCAUGCCCUCACUUAACAUCAUUCAAGUCCAGCCAAGUUCUAGGCCUAAGCCAAGUUAACAUAAAAAGUCUAUGUCCAGGCUUAAGCCCAAGUCACUCAACUCAAAUCUAAAAUGAAAAAUUCAAGCCCUCACGUAACAUUGUUUAAGUCAAGCAAAGGCUCAGCCGCUCAAGUCCUACCAUGGCCUAAGUUGACUAAGCCACAUCAAGGAUCAAAUCAAGUUAAAGCCCAAGACCACCAAGGUCCAAUCCACGCUAAGGUUGAAACAAGUCAAGGCCCAAAACAUUCCUAAUCAUGGAGAUGAUGGUCAAUGUUGAGAUCAUCAUCUCCAUAUUCAUGAUGGCCAGACCUUCCUCCAUUCACAAUAUCAAUUACUAAUUUAUUUUUUUAAAAUGGGCAUUUCAACUGGGACGAAGACAAUAAAUUACCAUUAUAUCCAAAUAUAAAAAAAAAAUACAUUCUUUAUAUAAGAUAAUGUAUUCUAAAAUUCAACAAUGGGCUGGCCUCCAUUAUGAAAAUGAAAAUGAGAUGGAGCGUGUCAGUCAGUUGUGGCCAGCCCAACAUUAUAUUGGACUGGGCCGCUCCGAUAUUGUAUGGAGACCUCCAAGCAAAGAGUACAUCCCCUCAUUUACAUGUAACUCCUACACGAUCGUCACAAGUCAGAAAGGUAAGAGUUUUUAUAAAUUCAUUUUAUUCCUUUAUUUUCGAGUGGGGAUAUAUUCAAUCGCACGUAUAUUUGGCAACAAAAGACAUGGUAACAAAAUUUUAAUGUAUUGAUUGGGUAUUUAUCCAACUUGUAAUAUCGAUUAUUGAAAGUGAACAAUUAAAUAGGAGUUGUCUAGUGAAACUUAAAACAAAUGGAAUCUUAUUAUAAUCUACUGUUAAAUAAGAGUAUGUUUAAUAUUGAUUUUAUAAAAUGUUUUUGGCAUUCCUAAUUAUUGGAAGAUAAAAAUUUUCAAGUGUAAAAAAUAUUAGAAAUGCUUUUUAAAAUCAGUAUCAAACGCACUCUAGUUCAAUAAAAAGAAUCUCCUUUAAUAAUAUUUCAUAAUUUGAUCAAAAUGAAUGAUGCUAUGAAAGAAAAUAGAAAGAAGAUGAUAAUCAUAAAAGUAAAAAAUUGAUUAAAAGCUUAUAAUACAACAGAGCAUCGGAGGAACAAAUAUUUGAUAAAAAGUGUUUCUACUAUCAACUACAUGGAUGAUAAAGAGAUUAAGAGUAUGUUGGGCAUUAAUUUUAAAAAGUGUUUCUAACUUUUCCAAUGUUUGGAAAAUAAAAAAAUUUAAAUGCUAGAAAAGUUAAAAAUAUUUUCUAGAAUCAUUAUCAAACAUACUCUAAGAGUCUGUUUGAUAAUGAUUUUUUGAAACGUUUCUAAUUCUUCUAAUAUUUAAAAGAUAAAAAAAUUUAAGUGCUAAAAAGGUUAAAAGCACUUCCUAAAAUUACUAUCAAACAUACAUUAAACGUGCAUUUGAUAGUAAUUUUAGAAAGUAUUUAUAUUAUUUUUAAUACUUGAAAAUAAAAAUUUUCAAGUAUUAUAAAUAUUAGAAACAUUUCAUACAAUCACCGCUAAACGCACUCUUAGAGUACGUUUCUAGCCUUUAUGACACUUUGAAAUUUUCAUCAUUCAAGUAUUAAAAAUAUUAUAAAUAUUUCUCAUAAUUACUGUUAAACGUAUUUUAAGAGUGUGUUUGACAAUGUUUUUAAUCGAAGUAUUUUUGGAACUAUUUUCUCUUAAAGUGUUUUUAGGACAAUUAUCUUUAAGUGUUUCUCCAUAAAACACUAUAAAUGAUUUUUUAAUUAUAUGAAAAAAAAAGUCAAAAUUUUAAAAAUGUUUCUUAAAUGAAACACUUGAUUUUAAAAAAAAACCAAUAAAACACUUUUUAGGUUAAUAAUGUUUUUCAAAAACAAUGUCAAAAGUACUCUAAAAUUGAGAUAGUACGAAAUUGGAAAAAUAUAUUCAAGUUUGACUUUUUCACAUGAGAAAAUUAAUUUUCAAAGAAUAAAUUUAUGAUUCUGGGACUCGAUCGAUCUUUUUAGAAAUUGAAUAAAUGAAACUUAGAACCCAUUUGAUAGUGAAUUUAGGAAACACUUCCAAUAGUUUUAACCCUUGAAAAAAAUUAUCAUUCAAGUGUUAGAAAUAUUGGAAAUGUUUUCUAAAAUUAGUACCAAAUCCACUCUUAAUUAAAGGAUGUAAUAUAAAUGAAUAAAAUGAAGCUACAUUAUACUCUCAUGUAUAAGUGGAUUAAUAAAAAGACACUAUGUACACCCUUAAUUUAUCCUUUUAGAGAAGCAUACUGCUGCAAUAAUACAUAUACAACCAAAGCAGUAAAUCAGGCUCAACAGUAUCUGUGUGGAUCUUGUCUCAAUGGACCUUUAACUCUUACCGUCAAAUAAAGUUUCUUGAUCACCAUUAAAAUGCAUGAAGUGUAAUUAAACUUUCUAAGCCCUACUCUCAAGUAAGUGUGAAAUUUUUUAGCACUAUGUCAUUAGCAAGCUUUAAGGGAUGAGUAAGCAAUCUUUUGCACGAUGAUAAUAUCCUUAAAUGACUUGUACUAGUUGAGAAAUUUGGGUACUACUUGCUAUUUGCUAAGUAGGUGAAAGCUUUAAUUCUAAUAUAUAAUAUAUUAGUGCAAGAACAUAAAAAUAAAAUUAUUCACGUGGCUGGAUCAAUUAUACUCAUAUAAAUGAAAAUUAAUCAUUUUACUAUGUGAUAAAAUAAACAUAUACAAUUAUUGAAUUUUAAAACAUCUCAUGCUCUCAUACUUUUUGUAUUUAUAUCCUAAAUUGAGAGGUCUUAUUUUAUUAGGUGUCUCAUACUUCCCCACAUCUAUAUUUAUUUAGUAUAAACUUUAUAUGACCGUUUUCAUAUCAUUACUUUUUUCUACUCAUUACUUCAAAUAUAUAAAUAUAGAAAUCGUCUAGAAAGGUUGUGUUCACUUUGUACAUACUUCAUUAACAAGGUGGAAUGAAUCAAUCAAUGUAUUAUUGAUUUCUAUGCCUUCCCCCCGGGCUUCAAUCUUCCAAAUUGUUUUUGCUUUAUAAUUGUGCAUAAUUCAAUUUUGUGUCAUCUCUGGUUAACAAAAUCUCGUAGGGACACUUUCAAUUAUUCAUUGAAUCAUCCAUGGAAUGAGAAUUGUACUUCGAGGUAAGAUGGACCUAAAAAGUGACCCAAGGUUCCUCUAUCACCUAUAAUUAAUUUUAAGGAUAUAAAAUGGUGAUAGACUAAAAUGCUCAUUUAACUCAUCACAUGCUUGUGCUGAUUUUUGUGGAACUCAUGAUUUAUUGAAUUCUUUUAUCUUUAUUGCAUCUCAAUUCACAUACCCAGGACAAUUCUAUUUUAACCGUUUGGAUUUUUCACUAUUUUUUAAAACUUUUUUUUAUAAAUAAUUGAAAAUUAGCAUUGUUUUCUAUUUUAAAUUACAAAUAAAGAAAAAUUAAAUCAAUGACUCAAAAACCAUUUUAAAAAAUACUUUCUAAAAAAAAUAUGGUAAUAAGAUUUUUAUUUUUUAUAUUUUCCUUUUGAAAAUAUGUUUAAUUGAUAAUGAAAACUAUUUUUAAAAAUGAAAAUUGAAAACCUUGUUUAGUACUAUUUUUUUCAUAUGAAAAUAAUAAAAAGAAUUAAAUUCCAUUUAUUGAUUAUCCAUUUUUAUUUUCUCCAUUAGUUAUUUUAAUAAUAAAAUAAAAAUAUAUAUAGUAUGUUCACAAUUAAACAAAGAAAUUGGUCAAUUGUGUGUUUUUUUGUGUGACUAUUUUUUACAUGAAAAAAUUAAAUAACUAAAUUAUAUAUAUUUAUUACUCUUUUUAAUUUUAUUUCCUCUAUUAGUGUUUUUUUUUUUUUGUGUAAUAGAAAAUUUUAAUAUAUCCAUAAUUAACAAAGUAAUAGAUUAAUUGUGUACAUUUUAAUCUAUUAAAAUAAAUUAUUUUCUAAUUUAAAUAAAUAAAAUGAAAUAAGUAAAUAAAUUUGGGGUUAUUUCUAUUUUCUAACAUAUCUAAUAUUAAUAUUUUUUUAGGGAAAAGUGGAAUUUGAUUUACUAAUNNNNNNNNNNNNNNNNNNNNNNNNNNNNNNNNNNNNNNNNNNNNNNNNNNNNNNNNNNNNNNNNNNNNNNNNNNNNNNNNNNNNNNNNNNNNNNNNNNNNUAGGGAAAAGUGGAAUUUGAUUUACUAAUAUGAAAAUAUCUUGAAAAAAGAACCUCAAAUAUUUUAAAUUAGUAUUAUUUUCAUCUAUUUAAAAAUAAUUUGAAAUCCAUGCACUUUUUAAUAAGUUGUACAAUUAUUCCCAAAAAUGUUCAUUUACUUAUCAUAUCAUCAAAAUCAAUUGAUAACUAAACUCUUUCACGUAAAUGUUUCCUUUCUUUAAGAUUUUAUUAUUAUUAUUAUUAUUAUUAUUAUUAUUAUUUUAUUAUUUAGGAAUUUUUUUUCUCUAGAAACAUUAUUAAGAAUUUGAAAAAAAAAAAUUAUUCUAGUAUUAAUAAGUUAAAAAUAAAUUCAUAUUCUUGACAAUAAAUAAACCAAUAAUAAAUUUUUAUUUAUUAUAUAAUAUUAAUAAUUUUAAAAUAUAAUAGCGAAUAAAAUUUAUUGUAAGAGUUUUUCAGAUAUAAAAUGUUUUACAAUAUGGUUGUAUUUUGAUAUAUAGUAUAAAAAUAAAUAAAUAAAUAAUGAUUUCUUAUUAAAUAGAUUAAUCAUAAUUAAAAUAAUGAUAUAUUACUAAAUUUAUUAUUUAUUAUUUAAUAAACAACCUUAUUACUUUUUGAAUUGGUAAUUAUGAUUAAAUAGGAUUUGUUUGACAAUAUGUUCUCUUAAAAUUCUAAGAAAUAAAAAAAUAUUAAUCCUAUUUAAAUAGGAUUUUUUUGGCAUAAUAUUUCCUAAUCUUUUAAGAAACUAGAAUAAGAAUCCUACGAGGUGUUUGUUUCUAGAGAAAAAAAAUCAAAAUAAUAAAAUAAUGAUAAUAAUAAUAAAUAAAUAAAAUAUAUAUAUAUAUAUACACAUAUAUAUGUAAAAAGAAGGGAAACAUCUAUACGGAGGAGUCUAGUUAUCAAUUGAUUUGAAUGAUAUGACAAGUAAAUGAGUAUUUUUUGGAAUAAUUGGAUGACUCGUUAAAAAGUACAUAUAUUUCAAAUUAUUUUUAAAUAAAUGAAUAUAAUACUAAUUUAAAAUUUUUGGGUUCUUUUUUCCAUUUUCAUAUUAGUAAGUCAAAUCCCACUUUUUUUUUUUUUUUUCCUGUCAUCCAAGAAAUACACACUCUCCUAUCAUAAAUUCUUUCAUUUCAUAUACUUUAUUUAAUUCGUAUAUACAAAUCAAAACUUACCUCAAUAAUGAUGUUUGAAGAAAAAUUUUGUUUUUACAUUUUACGUUCACACAUUCUAUGUAGACACAUAAUGUAUGCAUGUAAAUGAAAUUUGUAUCAUUGUACAAGUGUGUUAUACUAAUUGUACAAGGGGUGUACAAAGUUAUCAUUUGUGAAGGAUUUCAAUCGAUUUUGGACAACCUUUUUUUUUUUUUUUUUUUGUCUUGUCAUCUAAGGAUUGCACUCUCAUGGCAUACAUUCCUCUAUCAUACACUUAUCUUAUGAACUUUAUUUAACUCACAUGCGACAAUUCAAAUACUUAUCCCACUAAUGACGCUUGAAGCAAAAUUUUGUUUUUAUGUCUUCCAUUAUUUUGUGAUCCAAACCAAUAAAAACAUGGUUAACCUAUCUAUGAACACAUAUUGAGUAGGGAGUAUAUGGAAUUUGGGCCACUAUACAAGAUAUUUAUACUAAGUGUAUAAGACAAAAAUAUUAAUUAUAUUAUGGUGUACAAGACCGUUAUUUGUAAAAAAAUUUAUGUGAUUUUGAAAAACUCAUUUGUUUAUUUCCCAUAACCAAUGAUAAAUGACAUUCCUCACACACAUUGAUUAAGCAUAUAUUAAUUUUAUGCAUUUUAUUAUAUGGUCAUUUGAAUACUUAUCUCACUAAUUAUAAUUAUAUAACAAAAUUGUACAACAAUUUUUCCUUUUUUUUUAAAACUAAACCAAUGCAAACAUAAUUAAUCAAUCCAUUGUCAAAUAUUCAUGAGACGAUGUAUGAAAUUUGAGUUAUUGUAUAAAUGCAUUACACUAGUUGUAUAAGACAAUUUUACUAAUUGUAUAAGGGUAUGCAUGAUUGCUUCUUGUUAAGGAUUUCAAGUGAUUUUGAAUUUUUUUUUUCACUUAAGGACUUCACAAUUUCCCCACUCAAAUUCUCUCACUCAAAAAUUGUUUGGACUUUUAUUUUUAAAUUUCAUCAUCAAAAUUUUGUAAUUGUAUAUUUUGUUUUUGUAGUUUAACAAUGUUCUUUCUUUCCACCAUUUUUUUUUUUGUGAAAUUUUAUCAAAAUGAAUCUAUAUUUAAAAAUCUAAUUUAAAAUUAUAAUAAUAUUUCACAAAUUUUUUACUAAGAUUAUCUUAAAUUCUUUUAAUAUAUUUGUACUCAUUUAUUUAAAAAAUAAAAAACUAACUUUCUAUAAACAUGUUCUAUUACCUUUCAAGUAAAAAAUUAAAAUAACUUUGAAAGUCAAUAAAAAAAAUUAAAUACUACAUUCAAUCAUUUUUAGAUAAAAUUUUAUAUAAUAUAUUUCAUUUGAAAUUUAAUUUAUAAAGUUUUACUAAAAAAUUGCAUUGACAAAUCUUGUUGUGAGUCAAAAUACUUUUCAUUAGUUUAUCUAGAUAAGAAAAAAUAUUAAUAUAAUAUUAGAACUUCAUAUUUUAAUUAUUUUUUCAAUAAAUUUAUCUUUUCAAAAUUAUAUAUAUUUAAAAUAAGAGUAAAGUGAUAAUCAAUUUUUUUAAAUAUGGUUAAUGUGGAAAAUAUAAAAAAUAAUUAAAAAUAAGAGAAAAAAUAUAAAUAAAAGGGUAAUGUAAAUUUAAAAUAAAAAAUGAAAAUUAAACUAAAAGAUAAAUACAAAAAGAUAAAAAUAUUUGGACGAAAAAUCUCAAAAUUUUUAUGGAUUCAACAUCUUAAAAAACAAAAAGAAAAAGAAAACAUAAUUGUCUUUUAUUUGACAUAAAAUGGAAAUAUAGAUUGAGAGAAAAGAAAAUAUAUUAAAAUGGGUAAGUUUCUCAAAGUAGAAAGUUAGAAAUGGGUAACUGGUAAACUUAGCUGAACUUAGCUUGCGAGCCAAGUUUCUUUGUUCACCCGACUGCUUCGCCUACAUAUGCUUCACUCCCCUUUCACAGAUCCACAGAUCAAUCUUGUUAUUUGGCUCUUUCUUUUGGGUUUUCGUUCUCUGUUUCUCCCUUCUUCUCCAAAGUUGUUCGCCUCUCAAUCCUCUGUUUCUUGGUUUCCAUCCCCUCUUUUCUUUACUCCUUUCUCCUCUCUACACCCUCUUCUCUCUCUUCACCGAGGGAUCACGAAUUUAAUCAUCUGAUUCUCAGUCUUCCUGGGGUUUCAAAUUUUCUAUCCCCUGUUAUUGGUGUGUUCUCGUCCUCACUCCAUUCAGUGGUUUUCUCUGUUUCCUGAGUUUCAUAGCCUGUUUUUCCCUAUAUUUUCUUUAGCUUCGAAACUGUUCAGACCCAUCUCCUGCAAAUGGUUAGUCUAGCGUCUAUUUCCAAAGUCAAACCAGAAAAACGCUUCCCUCCACCUAGAGGACGAGUCAAAAAAGAAAUUUUCAAAAGCCUGGUCAAAUCGGUCGGCGCAGUUGCAGGAAUGGCGCGUGGGGUGAAAGGGAAACGAGAAGAAAAUGGUGGUCGGCGCAGCACGACCUCCACUACUCCCGCUGAACUCCCAGUGGGUACAGCUCGGAUGGGUAGUCUUAUGACUCUUAUCCACUGAAUUCAUAUUUCUCUACUCCCCUGUACGGUUAGUGAGCACUGGUCUGCGGUGUUGUUUAGAUUCCUAGAAAUUGUUUCAUUUUUUCAUUUUCUUUUGCCUUUUCUUUCGAUGGAAAGAGAGGGGGCGUUGAAGGUUGGAAUUCUCUAUUGGUUAAUCAUGAACCCAGAAAUAUGCUCAUCUGUAUACAUAUGAUUCUGGUGCUUCGAGUCUGUCUCAUUUUAGCAAAUUUUGAAAGAAUAUUAAUUCAUGGAAAUGUGAUGAGAAUGAUGAUUUGAUCUCCCAGUUUUCUAAAACACUUCUUACCUUUUUUUUUCUCAAAUCAUCUGUUCCUCGUUGAAAGCAGAGGAAAAUAAGUUCAUAUCUACUAGGAUAGAUCUUGAAGAUAAUUCAGAUCAUGGGGUCUGUUUGGAUCGGAUGAUUUUCGAUUCUCUUGAAAAUUUGAACUCCUAAAUCACCAAUCUAAUAAUUAAAAUAAUUUGAAUCUUUUAUUAGAUUCUAAUAAUUAAAAUAAUUUGAUUAUGAUUAAUUUAAGCAUGGAAGUUAGGGUUAUGAAGAAAAAGGACAAUGUAUUUUAAGUUUCAAGAAUCGGCAUCAUUAAGAAAAUGACAAAGAGAGUGAAUGAGUGAGGCACUUGAGGGCGGCCCAUCUGUCGGCGGCCCAGCCUUUUGGGUUCAGGUUACCAUGCAACACUGGGCUGGGAGUGCCUGCAUUGAAUAAAUUAUAUCAUCCCAUUUGACUUCAAUUCGGUCCCUCACACCCUUACAAGAUUUUGGUAGGUCAAUAAUUUGAGAAAAAAAAAAUCGAGAAAAUAAAAGAUAUAUUUAAAAUUAAUAAUUUUUUUUAAAAAUAAAUAUGUAUGAAUGGUUGUAUCAUGGCCUCUUGUAACUUAAUAAGUUUCGAGGUAAAAACACUAUAUUAUAUUAAUUUCUAAAUCCGUAAUUACGGAUAUUUGUAUUAAAAUUAGUUAAAAACUUGUAUAUUUUUUGAAUUAUUUUGUUUUUAUAUUAAAAUUAAAUUAAAUUAAUUAUAAAUAAUUUAUUGAUUUUAAAUUUAUAUAUUAUUUAUUAUUUUAUUUUUUCUGUCUCCUUUAUUUUAAUAUUUUCUUUCAAAUUUUGAAAAAAUCAAACAUUGCCUUAAUUACAUAAUAAAGAAUCUCAGAGUAUAAAAAUAUUUUUUAAUAUUAAUAUAUUUUCCAUUCUAUUUUUAUCAUCACUAAAAUUGAUAGUUACUCCAUAGAAGUCAGCCUUCCAGAAUGUGGAAGCUGGAGUUCCUUGGUCCUUAAGCGAAAAGGAUGUCCGUGGUAUUUUACCACUUAUAUAUUUAUAAAGGAAUAGAAUAUGCUGUGUUGGAUUGGAUGGGACUAGAUUUGCCCUUCAGUUUCUUUUGACUGACCAUAUCUAGAAUUGAAAUAGUAGAUGGCAACAAAAGACACAUUCUUUAUCAUGGAUUCAUGCAUGACUGAGUCAAGCUAAACCUUCUUUAUUGACUCAACAACAACUCUAUAAAAAGAAUCACUGUAAGAUAAUAUUUUACAAUUGGGUCAAAGCUAAUGUUUGUUAAGAAUGAAAAAUGGACACUACUACCCUUUUCCUUGGUUGAUAGGAAAUAAUACGAGUGAAAGGCAUUGAAAGUUAGACCUUUAUAGGGUGAUGGUAAGUAUAGAAGGAUAUUUUUUUCAAUAGGUAACGAAAAGGCAUCACUUUUUAACUAAUUUCAUAAUUUUGUAUCUAAAUCUUAAUAGUUUGAAUUUUGUAUGGGUCCUAAUAUUUUAUACCUAGGGAUGACAAUGGGGUGAAUUCGAGACAGGUCGCCCUCAUCCCAAUUCUCUCCAUUGAACGCUAUUUUGGAAAAUUUUAAUUUUUUUACAAAAUAUUUUAAUUUUUUUUAAUUACAUUAAAAUAAAUAUAUUUGAUAAAUAAUUAAAAUAUUAUAAUUUUUAUAACUUAUUUUAUUGAUUUUUUUUAUUAUUAUAUAUUAAAAAUAGAAAAAUUUUAAAUUUAUUGGAUUUAUCAAAAUUCUAAAGGCUUGAUUUCAUAUUGCUAAAAAAUUUAGAAAAAAUAUAGAUAUGUAAAGGAAAAGUACUGAUCAUGAUUCAUUCAAAACUAGUUUUAUUUUUAUUUUUUUGUUUUAAUUGGUUUUAUUUUUUAGUUUUAAAUUAUUUUUAAAAAUUACUAAAUUCAUUUAAAAUAAAUUCAAUGCAUUAAGUUUUGCUCGAUUUGAAGUUCAUUUGCUAGUAAAAAAAUUCUUAAAAUAUAAUCAUGUUUAAAAAAGAAAUAACAAACCCUUUUUGUAUUAGUUUUAGUUUGUGAAUUUUUUUUAUACUAAUCGGGUUUUUGAGUUUCAAAUUAGUUUUUAUAUAAACUUGUAAACAAAUACAAUGCAUUAAAUCUUAAUCAUUCAUUCUAGACCAAAUUUUUGUCCAUUAAUGUUUAUGUGGACUCACAUUUUUCAAAUGCACUCCCAAUCAAUGGCAAUACUAGUUUUUAUUGUGAAAAAUUGUGUGCAUGUGUGUGUGUUUUUUUAAAUAAAGUUACUACUUAUUUUUGUUUCUUUUUAAAAGGAAAAAAAACCAAAAUAAGAUAUAAAACUUUAAAAUGUUUCAUUUUUAAAAGAAAAACAGGUUUACAAAAAUCGAGUUUUAAGUUUGGGUUACUUGAAAGGGUCUCUAUUAAAUAAAUGAAUGAAAUCAUGACAAUCAAUUAAUCACAAAUAUCGAGAAAAAGUAGGAAACAAGUACAUAUAAUAAUAUAAGAUGAAAAACAAACUAUAAUGAUAUAAAAUAUUGAGAAAGGGAUUGCACAAAUUAACUUAUUAGACUAAUUUAAAAUAAAAUAAAAUAAAAUAAAAACUUAUUAUUUCCAAAUAUUACAACAUUUUCAAAAAAGAACUUUACUCACUAAAAUCAAUUUUCAGUAUUUCAAUUUAUUUAUUUAUUUAUUUACAAAAAGUCAGUUUAUUCACAAAAAAUUUGACUUUUAUUUUGGUUCAAAUUUGUUUCCAAAAUGACAUUUUCUUGUUUUUAUUAAAAGAGUUUAUUACGAGUCUAUGUAAUACAAUAACUUGGUAAAUUAUAAUAACUUGAUAGUCUUAUGUCAAAAUUCACCGUAGGUGUAGUCUAAUAUAUAAUCAUAAACACUAAUAUACUUACCAUGAGAAACAUAUUCCAAUGGGCAAGAUAAGUCAUUCAUCUAAUUAUGAGGUAAUAAUACAUUGCAAUCUCUACUAAAUUGCUCAAAUUCGUGAACCAACUAUGAAUUACUUAUCACCUUGUAAAAAACUCAUAACUUGUAUAUUUUGUACAACUUUUAAUACAUGUAAGUCAUAUACAAUACUAGUGAUAUGAGCAUACUCAAAAGAAAAUCAAUGUAAAAGGCAGAUAGAAAGUCAAGUCUAAUUUUAUUACAGCAUGUCUUAUUUUUAAAAGUUCUAUCCCAACACUAAUAAAUAAAUAAAAAAUAAAAAAUCAAAUACAUGUAGUCAUACAAGUUAUGCAACCAUACUUGAAAAGUGACCUAAGCAAGACUAGGUAAACCUAAAUGGGCCAAGGCAUGCCGAAAUGGGCCUAGGUGAGUCUAACCUAAAGUGCACGUAGGUGAAAGAAACCUAAACUAAACUGGGGGCUACCAAGUUCACAAUGAGGGGUCAUAUAAAUCCCUCAACUAAAGUCUCCAAGAUGGCUCAAAAAAAAUGUAAAUUGUAUGAGUGGUCAUGGGCCACCAAAAGACUACUGUGAAGUAUCAAAUGAGUUCUUAAUAAGACAUGUGCUAAGAAGACAAAAUGGAGGGUCUACAAUAGCCUAAGUUGAUUAAGCCACAUCAAGACUCAAAUCAAGUUAAAGCCUAAGACCACCAAGGUCCAAUCCAAGCUAAGAUUCAAACAAGUUAAGCCUAAGACAUGCCUAAUUAUGGAAAUGACGGUCAAUCUUGAGACCAUCAUCUCCAUAUCUCAUAUUUCUCUUCUUAUAUUUAGAGCUCAACUUGCAAAAUCUUACUUCAAGGGAUGUCUUUCUUGAUUUUUGUAUCUUUACAUUCUUAGUCUAGAUUCCACAAAUUUAUCUCCAUCGACCUCUUAACUUUUUUCCCUCAUAAUUUAAAUAUUUAUAAUGAAGGUAUAAAUUUUACAAAUCUAUCUUCAUCUCAUAACUUUUUUUUUCACUCAUGAUUUAAAUAUUUAUAAUCAUCUUUCUAAUAACUUGUUCUAGAAGAAAAUUUGACACUACAUUGAUAUAUCAAUAUAAAAAAGACAAUUUUCAAUAUUAUUUUAUUAUAAUAAAUGAUUUUGGAGACGAGAAUUUGAAAAUACCCUCUUGAUGAAGAAGGUUAUUGAAGUCCUCAUGUGGCUAGGGUUGAGGCACUAGACUACAACAAAUCAAGCCCAUGAUACCUUUUCUAGAAGACAUGACAUUAAUAUAUUAACUUCUAGAAAAGUGUUCAUAUUAGUGUGCUUCCAUCUCAUGUCCUCAUGGUUAUGAAGUGCUUUUAAAACAAUAUGGGCCAUCGGUAAACAAUAUCUCUACAUGCCAUGUGAAGUCUAUCUAUCUCCUUGCUAUUGAAAGAGAUGUUCCUAGGAAUUGCUGGAAGUUUUUAGCUUUUAGCUUAUAGCUUAUAGUAGGGUAGGAAGAGCUAAUCUCAUGCGACCGUGAGAGCCCUUAAAUUGGUUAUCAAUUUAUUUUCUCUAUUUUCAACAUAAAUAUUCUUGAGAAUAUUCUAAAACAUAGCCAUAACAGGGUUUCAUUUUGGAUUGUGGAGACAAUUUGAUUUUGGGUUUUCAAAUUUUGGCCCAAACAUAAAUGAAUUGGUUAUGGGCUGGCCUUUUCAAACACCAAACAUUAUUUUUGGCAAAAAAGUUGAUCAACAAGUUGGUGGGUAGACUUGACUCCACCGCGUUAGGUAUAUACCAACUGGUCAUGAUUUCAAUCCGUCAACCUUAAGAUCCCUAAUAGAACUAUCUGAGAAAUUCAGGUUCAUGUCCUCAAAGUCUGGCUUUCUUCAUGCUCUUCCUAAGUCAAUCCUCAUGUCUAGAAAGGUAUACAUAAGGAAAUUUCCUUGAAUUAGUAUUAGAAUUCCAAAGUGUAAUAUUCUUCUUGUAAUUUUUUAUAAAUAAAAGCAAGAACAUAUGAAAUAUAUUCAUGUCAAAUGUGGGCAAAGAAAAAGGAUAAUUUCAUUAAUGAGCUGCAGAGUAGUAAAUGAUACAAAAAUAAUAGGCAUCUUAAAUUUCAUGAUUGAAGUAGUUGAGAAAAAUCAUACUCUUGCGGUUCAUUUAUAUAUAUAUAUUAUAGGCAUUGUAUGACCCAAAAAGUUUCCAAAUGAAGAAAAAUAUCCACUCUUCUAGAAACAAAGGUGAAUCGUCCAAGUCAAAUUCUCACCAAAUUCUUUUAUCUAUAAGCUUUAAUAUGAACAAUUAUAAAAAGAUGAGUCACUUUUCCUUUCAUAAGGGAACACGUAUCAUUGAGAAGAACACCUAUCACUUGAUUACAUGUAUUUUUUUUUUAAAACUAUAAUUCCUAUUUAUAUCAAGCUUUCUAGAGUUUUAAUGUUGUCAAAUAUAAUUGAUUUAUGUAGUGUUACAUAAUUGACGGACACGAUGUAAGAUAAAUGAUGGUGGUUGUCAUACUGCUGCAUAUAUAUAAUUUUGGAUUUGAUCGCUUCAAUCUUGAAACCUUACAAGAUCAGGGAUAAAAACUCUACUUAUUUUAGUUAACACCUCUAUAGUUUAUCUUCUUACUAUUAUUUUUACUAUUUUUACAUUUAAAACUAGAUGAACUUUGAAUUCAUUGAUACUAUACUUUCACUUUGACCUAUACUAUCUCUUUCAAAAUCUAUGAUAAAAUAUAUUUAUUAUAUUUUAUAUAUUUUAUGGGUAAUUUUAAGUUAUUUUUAGUCAAAUUUUAAACUUAUGUUUUAUCAAUUAAUUUUUAGGUCUAACUAUAUGUAUAUACCUUUGAAUUAAUAAUCAUCUAAAUAUAUUUAAUUUUAGUAUAGAAUACAAAGGAGAUUAAAGAGAAAAUGAAAAAAAUAGUCUUCUCGUCAAACUCUUUUAAGUCUUAUAUUAAACUAAAAAGUUAUGACACAAUAUAAAGAUGACUUUUAUUCUUCUUUAAGGGUCGUUCUCCAAUUAGAACUUUAAAUUCAAAAGUGAGCUGUGAGUUCUUGUAUGGAUGGGUAUAUAUUGCAACCUUACUUUGUCUUGUACUCAAAGGAAGAUGUACUCGUCUUUUUCCCCAAAUGGUAUAAAAUGAAGAGUCAAAAGAUUCUCCUAUUAAUAAAAUUAAUAAUAAAAAAUAUUCUCGAUGGAAAAUAUAAAUAUAUAGUAUACAGAAACUAUCUUAAAAGCAGAACUUAAUCACUCUCACCAAGUUCCCAUCGAGUUGUUCCUUUCAUAAGCUUUAGUUCUGUCACUUAUUGGAACCAUUCCUCUAAAGAUAAUAUAAUUCAACGGAUGCAACAUGGCAUAAUUAACAAAAUGAAAGUAGAGGUGAAUCGGAACAUCGGGUUUUCAUCCGAUUCUUCUUUAUAUAGACUUUAGUAUAUUCCGUCAUAAAAACGUGAACGGCUUUUCCUCCUAGUUUCUCUAAUCUCAUGUACGGGUAACGUGUAGGCUAUGUUUGGUUCCCGAAAAGUACAAAGGAAAUAAAAAAAAUGUUAAGGAAAAUGAUUUUUUCAUGGUUGUCCUAUGAAAAAUAUCAAAGAAAAUCAAAUAUAAUUAAAACUAAUUAAAAACUUAUGUAUUUUUAAAUUAUUUAAUCUUUAUAUUGAUGAGUUAAAAUAAAUAAAAUGAGUUUGAAGUAACAAAAAAAAUAAUUUAUCAAUUUUUAAUCUAUUUUUUUUAUUUUUCUUCACUUUUUCUUUUCUUCUACUUUUCCUUUGUAUUUUAUUUCCCUCGCAUUUUCCCUCAAAUUUUCCGGGAACCAAACAUAACCGUAAUGUUUCUCUAAUCUCAUUUACCCGUGUUGUGAAAUAUCCACGUGGCAAAAAAUUCGAAUGAAGUCGAGAGUUCUAUUAUUACAGGCUAGCAGCUUCAAAGUUGAAGGGUCAACCUAUUCAUGGUGGUUGGCACAGGCAUGCUUUUUAUUUUUUUUAUUUUUCAUGAGUUGUAAACUGCAAGACAGUGAUGGUAUGAUAAUUAUGCCACACGUCACAUAAAUAAUAUGGCCAAAAUUCUGUGUUUAAUUGUAACUACAUACAUUAAAUGAAAGAGGCUAAGUUGAUUUAUAUGCCAUAUUUAUUUAUAGAAGAGUGAAUGACUUACCUGCCAGUCACGGCUAACGUUACUCAACUUCAAGAGAAAAAAAAAAGGAAAAAAAAAAUUAAUUACCAUUUUAAAAACAUUUUUAAGAAUGUAAUAUUAUAAUAAAAAAAUUAAAAUUAAAAAUUGAAACCAUCUUCAAAUUGAAAAUGUGUAUGGUAUACUUGCAUUUUUCACUUGCAUUCCACUGGGUUGUGAGACUAGUUUUUUUUUUUAUAAAUAAAAAACUGAUUUUUAUAAAAAUUGAAAUCACUACAUAUUUUUGUUUAUUUUUUUUAAAGAAAAAACAAAAUAAGAAAUAAAACUCUAAAAAAUGACUCAUUAUUUUAGAAAAAUAUGUAUUUGAAAAUCGAAUCCAAAUUAGGGAUUAAAUUACUUUUUGGUAAGGUACGAUGAUAAAUCAUAGUAUUUGUAUAAGAUUUAAAAUUAGUUUUUUAUUAAUCAAAUUAAAGUAAGUAAAUAGAUACGGAUAAAAUGAGAGAUAUGUUUGAGAAAAAUAAAUGUGAAAAUUUGUAUUUAAUUUUUAUGACCUUCGAAAGUGCUGAGGGUUUUGAUAUAAAAAUGAAAAGGGUAUUGAGAAAAUGUUGUUAAAAAAAAAAGAAGAAAAUGUUAAAAAGGUUUAUUUUUGUUGAAAAAGGAUAGAAAAAGUUUAGAGAAAGUCUAUUUUAUAAAAUUAUUUUUUUAAAAGUUUAUGAAUAAUUAAAAAAGGAAAAUUUUUAUAAUUAUAUUUUUAUUAUUUUAUUUCCUCUUUAUUUUGUUUUCUUUAAAACCAAAUAUAAAAUUUAAAAAUCUGAAAAUGACUUUUUUUUUUGGUUUGAAAUAAAAAUUGCAAACAAAAAAUAGGAUAGAUUAUCUUAAAUGUUUAAUUAUAGUAUAAAAUUUUAAAAUUAAUGCAUACCUAAGAUAUCACUUGAAUAUAGUUGUCACAUAAAAUUGACGAAUUUUAAUAUAAAAAUACAAAAUUAUGAUCUAAAAAUUAUUUUUCUUUUUAAAAAUGUUGUUUGAAGAAAGAAGAGGCAAAUAUUUGACAUUUUUAAAAAUGAUCACUCUAAAAAAUAUUUUUAAAAUAACUAAAAAGUUAAUUUGAAUUGUAUGAGAAAUUUUAUUUAAAUUAAUAUUAUUUAUUUAAUAUUUAAUUCUUAAAAAUUACAUUAAAAAAUCAAAGAGAAUUUAAGGUUUUUUGGAAACUAUUUUUUGUAAUAAUUUUUUAUUUUUAAAAAUAAAAAAACAUAGAAAAUAUAUUUAAUAAUUUUUUUAUUUUUUAUUUUUAAAAAUAUAAAUAGAAAAUAAGGUAUUUUCAUAUAACUUUUUUUUUAAUUAUUUUUACUUGUUUUUAUAGGGACUAUUUUAAAAAAUAAUUAUAUAAACACGUGAAAUAAUUAAAAAUAAAACAUUAAAUAUAAAAAUUAUUUUAAAAAUAGAUUUAAAAUAUUUUAAAUUUUUAAACAGAUUUUUAUUUUAUAAAAGUUAAAAAAUAAUUUUUAAAAAUUAUUCUUAAAUUUUUUUUUUUAAAUUAAUUUCAACAAACAAUGAAAGGAAAUUGUGAUGCGAUGAUAAAAGAAAUAAAAAUAAAAAAUGGGGUGAGAGAGUGUGAUUGCAAUAACUGCAGACUUCUCAACUGCAGACAAACUCUUUCCAACUAAGUGAAAUUCUAGACGAAAUGAAAACGACGAAGAAUUGAAAGUAGGGUCCAUUUGGAUAUACCCGAGUUCUCUUUUUUGAGUGUGUUCAAAAUUCAAAGUUGAAAGUUCAAAUUCCACGCACAAACAAACGGUCCCUCUUUCCACUCUGUGCACUCAAACCCUUUCUUCACUUUCCUCCACUUUUCCCCUCUCUUCUCAUAUAUAUAGAGGGAGAAAGAGAGCGUGUGAGAGCUCAUCCUCUCAUUUCAUUUUAAUUUCAAUCUCAUUUCAUCUCAAUUUGAGGCUCUGAAGAAAUGGAGAACGAGUCCGCGGCUGUGGAAGUGAAGGGGGUUCCAUCCUACGGUGGGAAAUACGUCCAGUACAACGUGCUCGGUAACCUCUUCGAGGUCUCGGCUAAGUACGUUCCGCCGAUUCAGCCGGUUGGCCGUGGCGCCUAUGGAAUCGUUUGGUGAGAUUUUCUCGGCUUUUUAUUUUUUGGCUUAUUGGAUUCUAAAGUGCUAUUUUGGCUGGCAUUUUGGAAGUGUUUUUCUUUCUUUUUGAGAGCUGUCACAGGGUUUUUUUUUCUUUUUUUUUUUGGUGCUUUUAUAAGCAUGAAAAAGUACUUGGAAAAUAUCCUUUGUUUUCCCCGGAUUGAAAGAUGUAGGCGUUAUUUGGGCUCUGUUUGGUUUCUGAGAAAAUGGUAGAAAUUUUAAAUCGGGUUUAGUUCUUUAUUUGUUUGGUUUUGGUUCUGGUUGGUGAAAAAUGAAGUCAAAUUAAACUAAAUAGUGUUUGUCGGCUCGCUUGAGUGGAUUUGUCUCGGUAGGGCCCCUUUUUAUUUCUGAGAAAUUGGUGGAGUGGAAACGUAAAUGAAAUUUUGAAAAUUGUUUUUUUUUUUCUUUUUUGGUGAUGAAAAAUGAAAUGAAUCAAUACAGCAAAAUAGUGUUUUUUGGCUCGUUUGAGUGGAAUUUUCUUGGUUAUUUUGGGAUCUAGUCUCUGUUUGGUUGCUGAAAGCAUGGAAAGAAAAAAAAACAUAAAUUCUUGGAUUUUUCAAGAUUUAGUCAGAGAAGGAAAAUGGUUUAAUUAAAGCUUAAGUCAACUUCUUGGCUUGGUUAAGGUGAAUUUUUUGUCCUUUUUUGUCCUUUUUUUUUUUUUUUUUUUUUUUUUUGUGGGUGGGGGGGAACUGAAGCAACAUCAAACAUAAGAUUAACAACUUGUUUUCUUAUCUUCCUCAAAUUUCUCAAGAACCAAACAGAGAGUUUAUUUUUAAAAGUUAUUCUAAUUUCAAAAUUCUGAUGCAUAGUGUGAUUAUAAGAUUUCUGGUUUUAUCAUUUAUGUAAUUCAGGAUUGUAGAAAGCAUAUUGUAUGAUCCAGUAUUGUGGAUGGCCUUUUCUUGGAUAAAAAGUGCUGAGUUAAAUCCAGAAUUGUAUUAAAUGGAAGUUAGUGAUGAAACAGACUUUCCUUGGAUGUACUACAAAACUCCUGUGCAGAUUACAUGAUUAAAUCCCUGCCCACUUGGUAUAAACAGAAGUUCAAUCUGAUUCUGAGGCUUCUAGCUCAAACAACAAAGCAGGAAUUAUAUUGAUUGCUUACCAUAUGCGUGUUGCAAUUUUUUAUAUAAGAAUUAUGACACUUUUGGCUUAGAGCUCCUAAAUGUAUUUCUUUGUGAUUGGGAAUUGAUUAUUAUUCACUGACUACAGCUGUGCGACGAAUUCCGAGACAAAUAAGGAAGUCGCAAUCAAGAAGAUUGGGAAUGCAUUUGACAACAGGAUUGAUGCUAAAAGGACACUCCGGGAGAUCAAACUCCUUUGCCAUAUGGAUCAUGAAAAUGUAUUCACAUGAGUCAUAGAACUUUGUUGCUUGGGGUGGCAUAUUCUGGGCAGUUACUUUCUUUUUCAAUUUGUCUCUGUUUGUUUGCUGCUUUAUUUAUUUAUUUAUUUAUUUUUGUUUCUUUUUCUUUUUAAUAAUGAAAAGGUAAUAUUGAUUUUAACAAGGUGUUGUGAUAAUUGCAAGUUUUGAAAAAGGGAGUAUUGUAGAGGAUAUGCAACCCCGUUCUUUUUCUUGUAAUGUUGUGAACUGGAGAUGCUGAAGAACACUUUUAUUUUGCAGAUUGUCAAAAUUAAGGACAUCAUAAGGCCACCUGACAAGGAAAAGUUCAAUGAUGUGUAUAUUGUUUAUGAAUUAAUGGAUACUGAUCUACAUCAGAUAAUACGCUCUUCCCAGGCACUAACAGAUGAUCAUUGUCAGGUAAGUUGGUUCUCUGGCUUGCUUCCUUUCAGCCUAGUGUCUCUAUAGACUGUGCAACUUCUUUACUUCACCCGUAAAUCUGUGAAUAAAGAUUGUGCAUGGCAUUUGAUUUUUAUUAUUAAAACAGCUAAUAACACCAAGUUUGAAAUCCCUUUUAUAGGUGAAUCUGUCUGGCCAUCUUUAGUUGAGUCGCAUCGUAUAAUAUGAAAAAACUAACAUUGCAAUUUGGUAUCUGAAUAUUGAAAGAGUAUUUAAUUUAAUGUAUAAGCUGUUGAUGCAGGAAGUGGACACCAAUACCCUGCAUGACCAUGCACUUGUCGUUUUGAAAUCCAUUAUUUGGACUGUUGUUUAAGCAUACUUUGGUUUCCUUUGGUUCCAUCAGCGCAUUAGCAUAUCAAUAAGGUGCAUAGGUCCAAAUGUAGGAUUUCAUUGUAUCAUUUGAAUUAUAACAUGAUUUUUGAGGCUGCCAUGAUCCAAAAGAGUGCUUGUUAAGACAAUCAUUUUUACAUCUUCUUUUCAAAUUAGAAGAAUCUACAAGAAACACUAGGUCACAAUUAUUAACACUGUUGCCUUAGCAAAUACAUAUUUUGUAGAAAACUUGGAUAGCUCAACCCCUUGUUAUCUUACAAGCUGAAGGUGUCACCUGGGUAGUUAGUAGGGAACACUAAUACUGUGUUAUUUGAGGAAUAAAAACAAGGUGCUGAUAACAUAAAAACAGCAUGACGUGUCCAAAAACUCAUUUGAAUAUUAAGAACUAAGUUUGAUGCAUUCACAAUAUAUGUUCAAAUUUGCAGCUUGAAAUUAAAUAUAUGUUGCAAAAUUUGUUGAAAUUAAAUUAUAAAUUAGCAGUAACGUGAAGCAUAAUGUUUGUUGGACUUGGCAGUAUUUCCUGUAUCAAUUAUUGCGAGGGCUGAAGUAUAUACACUCUGCCAAUGUUUUGCAUCGAGAUUUGAAACCAAGCAACCUACUACUGAAUGCUGACUGUGACCUCAAGAUUUGUGACUUUGGACUUGCAAGAACCACCUCAGAGACAGAUUUCAUGACAGAAUAUGUUGUUACCCGGUGGUAUCGAGCCCCUGAAUUGCUACUCAACUGUUCAGAAUAUACUGCAGCCAUUGAUAUCUGGUCAGUUGGUUGCAUUUUGAUGGAGAUCCUUAGAAGAGAGCCACUUUUUCCUGGUAAAGACUAUGUUCAGCAGCUGGUGCUUAUAACUGAGGUAUUUUUCUUUCCUCUUUAUUUCCCCGCCAGUUUUUCUAUUAGCAGGCCGACAGGGCGUUCUCUUGGUUUGGGUAUAUGAACUCUAUUUGUAGAAGAUAUCAGGACAAGUUGCAUAUAUUGGCAUUGUAUUUAUCCUGUGAAUAUUAUUAUGGUGGUCACUAAUGAAAAUUUUCCUGGUUAUCCCAAAAUAGCUAUUAGGUUCCCCGGAAGAUUCAGAUCUUGGAUUUCUUAGAAGUGAUAAUGCUAGGAAGUAUGUCAAGCAGCUCCCUUGUGUUCCAAAGCAACCUUUCUCAGAGAAGUUUCCUAACAUAUCUCCAAUAGCCAUGGAUCUUGUGGAGAAAAUGCUAGUUUUUGAUCCAAGCAAGCGCAUAACUGGUAUGCCUCUUAUGUUUAUCAAUACAGAACAUUUUUCCCUUUUUUUUUCUCCUGAUUAUUAUGUUCUUUUUCACAUGAUAUUUGCGCAGUCGAGGAAGCCUUGAAUCACCCAUUUUUGUUGCCUCUCCAUGAGAUCAACGAGGAGCCCAUCUGCCCCUCUCCUUUCAUCUUCGAUUUUGAACAAUCAUCCUUAAGUGAAGACGAUAUAAAGGAACUCAUAUGGAAUGAGUCUCUGAAUUUCAACCCUGAUGAGAUGCUGGAGUGAUCAUAACCAUGUUGUUCUGCUGCUUUAUUCACCAUAGUUCCUGAUCAGUAUUUUGGUUUUUGCUUGGAAGGUAAGUAAAUGUAUACUAUGUGGUUGGAUUAUGUAUAAGAGUGAUUGGGAAGAUAGGUUCUUCCUUGUAUUGAGAGGGUGAAGUGGUAGUUGUUUUAGAGCAAUAUUGAAGAGUUACUGGGGUUACAUUCUUUUCAAGAAUCCAGCAACCCAUGGAGGGUUGGCCUGCAUAAAAAGGAGGUUAUGCUCUUCUGACCUUCUGUCUUGAGUCUGUAUUGUAUAUCCCAAAUCCAAUUUUAUCAAUGCAAAAAGGAAAAAAAUAAAUAAGUACUUGUGAGGGGGAAACUACUGAUUCUGUUUCAUAUCCUUGAGAAAUGGGUUCUAACUUAAAUACUCACUUGAUUGAUUUAUUUAUUUUUUUCUCAAUCAGUUAAUAUUUAGUGGCCUAAUUUGAAUUCUACCAUUGGUGAUAUCUUGAAUUUACCCAAUAUUGAUUAUUAUGAGGCGGUCAAUAUCCUGAGAUUUGGGUCCUCAUGGAGAGUCUUUAAGAACUUGGUCAUGGAAGGUUCCUCAAUUAUUAAAAAAAUAUAUAUAAUGACCCAAUUUACUUGCAGCAGAGAUGGAUGAUUUUGCUUUCAUCCUAGUUUGAAUUCAUUGAGAACAUCAUACCUUAGCACCUUGAACAUACAAGUUCUUUAAUUUGCCAUUGGUUCAUGGAAAAACAGAGGGAAAAUUUGAAGGUAAAAUAAAAACAAAGAGUAAAGAGUAAAAACAAAGAAAAAAAUUAGCAGAAGAAAAUGAAAUAUAUGUUGAAAAUUAAUAAAUUAUUUUCAUAUGAACAGUAUAUAAUUAGAAAUUAAAUAAAAUUUAAAUUAAUUUCAACUAUAUUUAAUUUUUAUAAUAAAUAUAAAUUAAACAUAGCGAAAAUAAUAUAUUAUUAUUUAUUAAUACAAACUCACAGGCCUUUCAGAGCCUGCCACUAUUCUCCAGUCUCCACGCUGUGCCAUGACCAUCCAUUAUCAUGGCCCAAUAAGCCAUCCUCGGCAUUGUCCACCACACUACGGUUUGAAGAACUGACCUCAAAUUUAAGUGCACUUACGUGCAUCUAUUGACUUUCGCUUCAAAAUAUCAUUGCCUCCAUUAAUUCCGAAGGUAUCAUGAUUUAGCUAAUAAAAUAUUCAUUUUUAAUUCCUGUUCUCGCUUAGCAAGUGACGUGGACAUCAGUUUCCCAUUAUUUAUUAAUUGAGACAUAUUUUUUGAGAUGAAAAAAAAUCUAAACACUGCGGACAUUAACUUUUUGAUGAAUUGACAGCCUUAUGACGAUAUCGUAGCCACAUCCCUUCAAGAUAAUAUUUGUUAUAUUGCACUAAGAAUAGUCAUUUGAUAUGGACUUACGAAUUUCAAAGAUUUUAUCUUAAAAAGGGAUCACGCUUAAGUUUUUUAAUAUCCCGAACCUUAUUUUUAAAGUUAAAUACACUUUAUCCCCUCAACCGUAUUUUAUGUUGUUCCCCUUACACGUUAAUAUUAUUUUUCAAAUUUAUUAAAAUAAAGUACUUUGACCCCCAAGUUGUUAAAAAGAUUAAUGAAUAAGUUGUUAAAUAAAAAAAUAGAGUUGAAAUAUAAAAACAAAUUUAUUAAAAUAAAGUACUUUGACCCCAAGUUGUUAAAAAGAUUAAUGAAUAAAUUGUUAAAUAAAAAAUAAAGUUGAAAUAUAAAAAGAAAAAUGUAUUAUUUAAGUUUAAAGUUGUCAAACUUUAUAGUAACAGUCACAAAUAGUUAUAUGAACAUCUAUUCAAAACCAAAAAUCAAAAUUAAUAGUUGUUAUAUUUUGAAGGCAUUUGAAAAAUUCUAUUUGAAAGUUGUUAAUUCAAAAUUGAUUCUAGAUUCAAAUUAGUGUUCGAAUUAGAGUGCAAAAAAAAUUGUUUUAUAAUUUUAUAGAAAGUUUGUAAUCGAAAACAAAAUGUUGGUUAUUAACAAAGUUAAAGGGCAAAGAUGGAAAAUUUUAAAUAUGAGAAAGUAAAGUGUAAAAUAUGAAACUCAAAUUUAUUAGGAUUUGGCUACAACGUUGAAAAUGUAUUUAUCAAAAAAUAUGAAACUCAAAUUUCAUUAUUCAUAUGUUUUAUAUCAAUAAAAUUCAUACUUUACACAUGUGAGGAUUUUUGACGUUUUUGGUAUCAGUCUCUUUAUAAUCUAAUAACUUUAGCUUUUAAGUUAAUCGCUGACUUAACACUUAUGUAUUAAGUAAAAUAUGAUUAUUUUUUACAAUAUUAUUUAUUUAUAUUUGGUUUUUGACAGUACAAAAUGAAAAAUGUUUUUAAAAACGGAAAACAUAGAAAUGAAACGGAGCACGCUGCACGGUGCUUCCAGACCCUAGAAACUGCUAAAAUCACACAUUUUGACAGGGAACAAACACCGUGAGAAGACGAUGCUUCGAAUCAUCUUUAAAAAUGCUUCACAGAGCCGAAGCAAACCGCAAUCAUGUCCAUUCUUCUCCAUAAUCGUACGCUCGUAUUCGCAGCUCCACUCGCAGAUCCAGCGGUUCAUCUCUUUCUGUUUUUGUCUUUUUGUUUUUUUAUUUUGCUUGUUUUUGUUUUUUGUGGUAUCUAAUUCUUACAAGCAGCUGUUCUAAAUCUCCAGGCCUUCAUUUGGCAUUGCGUUUGAUAUCGAUGGCGUCGUUUUACUCGGCAACACUCCGAUCGGGGGCUCCUCGCAGGCACUCAAAAGAUUACAUGAUGAUUGCGGUGCGAAUUCUGCUUUUGUUGCAUUAGAUUCUAGCAGUUCUGAAUUUUUAUUUUUUUAUGGAUUUACCCUUGGAUUGCGUGGAAAUGUACUUGUCUGAUCUGUUUGGUUGCUGAGAAAAAUGUGAGAGAAGUAGGUAAGUAUUGGAGAUAUUGAAGUUGGAGUGGAAGUAAUGUUUUAGCAAUUCAAAUCAGUUGAAUACUUUGUGAUAAAUAGGAAAUUUUGUUAGGAAGCGACUUUAUCCAAGCAAGAUAGUUUAAAUUUUUUAUUUCUUAUACUCUGUUUGGCCCUAGGAUGAACCAGGGAAAGAGAAGGAAAAAAGUUGAAAUAGCUUGAGGAAAUAAUCCAUAGUUUCUGCAUUUUCCUUUCCUUCUUUUCAAUAUUCAAACGGAGUCUUAACGAAAAACUAUUACAGCUGUGAUGUGAUCAAUCCACAAGACUCUCUAGUAAAAGGUCUAGUGCCUGAAGCGACCUUAGAAACUAAUUAUAUAUAAAAUGAUUAUGCUGGAUCUUUUGUACAUUAGUCAAGUUAACAUGAUUACCAGGCACUCCAAGGCAUACUCCUGAAUUUGGGAUUAGCUCGGCAUCAAAAUAAUUCAGGAUUCUGGAGUACUUUAGAAAAAAUACAGGCAUGAUUUGGGGAAAAAAAAUCAAGAUGAACUUGAAAGUAAGAAAAGCAAUAGCUGUUAAAAAAAUAGUGAAGAUUUGCGAUGAUCUAUCACUUCAUAUUAUUAAGAAGAAAUGAUGUCAGAAAUAGCUAGGGAAUUAAUUAUCCAUGAAAUUUGUAUGUUGGACUAAGUCAGGAAUUGUUUACAUGCAUAGAAGUAUAUGGGUUUUAUUUAUUUGAUGAAGUGUUCGUAAAUAGUUUGGGAAUUACUCCCAAGACUUACUUAGCAUUUAACAUUUUUAUCCAUCAUUAAACUCCUAAUACUCUCUUUCUUGGCAGGUAAAUUGAAGAUUCCCUACAUUUUCUUGACAAAUGGUGCGUCCUUGUUUACAAUUUACUUAUCUUGUCAACCUAUAUUGGUAGCAUUAAAUGGAGGACUCCAUUUUGCAAUUUGUAGUAUGGAUUCUAUUUGGACUGUCUUUCAUAGGUUGGAUGAUUUGAAGAUGCCUGUGCUGAGCAUAAUAAUCUGUUGAAUUACUUUAAUAGUUAUAUUCUGUGAUGCGCAUCCAAUUGUACUUGUAUUUUAUUCAGUGUCUCUUCGAACCAAAAAGAAUUCUAAUCAGAAAUUUGAGGAUAUCAUUCCCUCGUGUCAUCUUUUGAACUGUUUAUUGAGUGUCAGUUUGUAGAAGACUCUGGAUCCUAGAUAAUCAUAUCUUAAUUCUUGAAGUAGUGAAUUCCACUUCAAUUCUUUAUUUCAACAGGAGGUGGAUUUCAUGAAUCUAAAAGAGCCUCUGAGUUAAGUGAACUAUUGGGCGUAAAUAUUUUACCGACACAGGUAUUGUGCCACUUUAAAAAAUCCACUCAGGUCCAAACUCACAGAAUUUGAUGUCUAAAACUGUGAUUCUGAUGCAGGUUGUCCAGGGACAUUCACCUUUCAAACAGCUGGUAAAAAGGUAUAUAACUAGUGAGAUGCAAACUAAUUUCAUGUGCAAAAUGCUGAUAUGAAAGAAGAGUGAAAUACACUAAUAAUAUUGAAAAAUCUCCCAUUAUAAGAUAGAACUGGUAAUAAUGUCAUCAAUCAGAAGUUAAAAGUUGUUAAAACUAUCUAGCAGAUAACUUUCAUUAAAGCCUAACAUACCUAAGCCUAAUAAGUUAUUCUUGGUAUUGGGAAAGUCAAAACACAAUGUAACCAGCAAUGCAUGUUUGAAAGUUUAUUAGUGUUCAUUAUGUUUGAAUUCUUGAACUAGCCUCCCUCAGUGAAGCCACUUGCCACAUCAGUUGGUUGAUCUGUGAAUCUGUGCUAAUAUGCUUUGUUAUCUCACAGUAUCUCAUGAUAUGUAACAUUAGAACACACUCAUGAGACCAUAAAUGAGUUCAGUUCACUUCAAUGAUGAAUAGCAAUAAGAUAGCAGCUAAUAAUCAUUGAGCAGUAUGGCCUUGGGCUUCAUAAAUGGGUGUGCCAAUUUUUUGUCAAAUAUGAUCUAUUCAUGGAACCAACCAACACUGAUGCUUAAACGCUUCAUAUACCACUAGGCAUCAUAACAUGUUACAUGAUCCUAAUACAUGCAAGAUAAUGAAAUUUUAUAACACAUGAUGCAUCCAAUUUUCAAAUGAAAGUUUAUAGUAUUACAAUAUGUAUAUCAGGUCAGGGAAAUAAGUGAGAUCCCAAGGAGAAUACUAAGAUGCUUAAAUGCUUCAUAUACCACUAGGCAUCAUAAUGUGUUAUAUUAUCCCAAUAUAUGCAAGAUAAUGAAAUUUUAUUUUUUAAUGAGAGUUUAUAAAAUUAUAACAUGUCUAUCAGGUCAGGGAAAUGAAUUAGAUCCCAAGGAGAAUAAUAAGAUGAUUUAGAAAAAAAGAUCCUCUCUUCCUUUUAUUGGUGUAAUUUUGAUCUGUUUCUUCAUCUUCAUCUUAAUUAACCAGUAUGUUACUUUUACAGAUUUGAGAAUGAACUUGUUAUUGCUGUUGGCAAGGGAGAACCUGCUGCAGUGAUGUCUGAAUAUGGCUUUAAGUAAGGUUUUGUGCUUCUUGUCUUGGUCUAUCUGAUUUGUGAAUGCCAAAAAUUUCACCAUGGCUGUUAAAUUUAAAUUUCAAGGAUGAUCUACAAUUGUAUUUUAAAUUUGCUUCUGUGCUUAUUGAUUUUAUUUGCAGAAAUGUUCUUUCAAUAGAUGAGUAUUCAUCCUGUUUUGACAACAUUGAUCCCCUGGCACAUUAUAAGAAAUGGUCAACUAGGCAGGAAGUUGAUCAAAAUAGCACUUUGAAGAUGAAAAACACUGUUUACUCACAGAGAGUUCAGGCAGCAUUUGUUGUUAGCGAUUCUGUUGACUGGAGCAGGGACAUUCAGGUUGUCCUUAAUCUUCAGCUUAUUUGAUCAUUUGAACAUUUCUUUGAUAUUAACUGUGAGGUUUAACUUAAAAAGAGAAGUGGAGAAUAUGUACAGAACAACUAAAAAUCUACUAAAAAGAACAUGUUUUCCACUUCAUUAUGCUAUAAAAUUGAUUUAAAAUACCAAUCUAAAAGCAAGAAAAUGACCAACACUUGUAUUUGCUUGUUUGGAGAAGAAGAUCCAAGUCUAAUUGUAAAACAUUGGUGGGAAAAGAAUAGGGAGAGAAGACAAAAUUCUUGACUUUGGCACUUCUACUAUUGCUGUUAUAGCCAUGGACCUUUUCUUUCAAUACGUGAAUAAUCAAAGACAAAGGAAAAACAUAUGCAGAACCACAUUGACAGGAACUUGAGUAAAGGAGACUCAUUUUCCUUGUAUAUGUGAUAAAGGGGAUCUCUGGUACAUCUGGGAGCAUGGCAGGUCAGAGUAAAGAGGUGAUGGGCUGAUUCCUUUUUAACCUUUGACAACUAUGGAAAUGACUGAACUUUACCUUGCUUAUAAGCACUGUUGGUUCCAUAUUGUAAAAACCCAGUUAUUUCUCUGUUCAAAAAAUGCCUGACUAGAAAAUGGGACAAGAUUUUCACAGGGGAUGCUACUCUAGUCUCAAGGGCUUCAACAAUCCAGCAGUAAUGUUUUCAGGUGGAUUUGUAGAACUUAUUAAUCUUGAGAGGGGAAAAAAGGUAAAAUUAGAUUUUCCUUGAAAAACAAUGAAGAGCUUAGUUUGGUCUAUGCUUCUCCUAUCAGUCCUCUUUCAGAUCUGAGAGGACGAAAACUGGGGCAUAAUCGUCUUAUCUUUAGUAAAGUUUUCUAACACAAUGAUCCUCACUUGACUUGUGCUUCGAAUUUUCUCCAUAUAAACAUUACUCCUAUCAUUAAAACUAGAUAUUUUAGGAAGGCACAAAGAUCGCUAUUUAAUUUUUUUUUUCUCUGUGAGCUGUGAUUAGUAUCUAAGAUCUAUGAAUUCUUCUAUCCUUUUACCCUUUUCUUUCUUGUGUAGUUAGAAUUUCUUAAAUGCAUGAAUUCCAGGCUUUCAAUCUUUAAACUCUGAACAGAAUGAUGGUGGUUUUAGGUUCUCUGCGAUGUUUUAAGAACUGGAGGUCUUCCUGGAAGGGAAACUGGACAUCAACCACCUCUGUAUUUUGCUAAUGAUGACCUUGAAUACCAGGUCAGUUAUGAUGUUACUUAGAGGUUACUUGCAAUCUUGAUUUCUUGAAUUGUUGUGGAAUUAUUUCUUCUGAAAUCCAAUAUACUAACAAGAUACAUUAAAGGUAGGCUGCUUUUCCUUCUGAACGUCUUGGGAUGGGAGCUUUCAGGAUUGCAUUAGAAGCCAUCUUCAAUAGGUGAGGCUGGAAAAUAUGGUAACAUAUAAUGAAGGUUGAGAUUUGAUCUGAGUAAUGGUAUAGUCUCCUUCAAAGAAAUCAUACUGAUUCAAAGUCUCAACAGGCUCAUAGGCCCCUUCUUGGAUGAGCCACAAACUUAAGGUCAUGUUUGGUUUCCGGAAAAUACUAAGGAGAGAAAUUUUUUUUUUAAGGAAAAUAAUUUUAUCAUGUUCGGUUUUACCAUGGAAAAUACGAAUAUAUAUAUAUAUAUAUAUUUUUAAAUUAUUUAUAAAAGAGUUAAAAUAAAUGAAUGAGUUUAAAGUAAUAUAUAAAAAUAAUUUAUUAAUUUUAAAUCUAUUUUUUUAUUUUACUUCACUUUUUCUUUUCUUAUAAUUUUUCUCUUUUUUUCUUUCCUUCACAUUUUUCUCAAAUUUUCAAGGAACCAAACAAAGCCAAAAUGUUAUGGGACAAAUGAAUGCAAUCCCCCUAAAAUGAGAUUCAGGAGAUGAAUCAUCUAUAGAGGCAUUAGCAAUUAAGGCAGCGCCAAUGACAAAAUUGACAAUCAUCUAUAAUGUUAAUUACUAGGCUGAAGAGAAAUGAUCAUAUUCCCUGAAUUUCAGGUCUCACAUGAUACUACAGAUUAUUCUAAUGCCUACUAGUUUUAAUAUGCAGAAUCCACCCUAAAGCUCUGGAAUAUACAUCAUUCGGGAAGCCGAGCCCGUCUGUGUUCAAGAAUGCUGAAACCAUAUUGUCACAACUUGUGUCAUCUCUCCAUCAUAAACUUGAGGCUGAGAAUCAUGGAAAUGCUGGAAGUCAUCCUUUCAAAACACUGUAUAUGAUAGGAGAUAAUCCUUCAGUUGACAUAAAUGGUGCUCGUCAGGUUUGCCUCUCUAUGACUAAGAAUUUGGUUUCCAAGCCAGUCACUUAUGCGAGUCUUUGGUGAUUAAGGAAUGGGAUUCCAUAUUUUGCAUUUCAGGCAGGACAUCCAUGGUUUUCUAUUUUGACAAGGACCGGGGUUUUCAAGGGAAAGGAAAAUCAUGCUAAAUUUCCAGCAGAUCUGGUCAGUGAUUGUUGAAUUCUUAGAAGUUUGUUUACAUAUCAGGUUUCAUUUCUAUAAGUUUUACACCAUUGGUUUCAAGAAAAUAUUAAGGAAAAAAAAUGAUUUUCUUAUAUCCUAAAAAAUAGAAAAGAAAAUAAAAUAUAAUUAAAAUUUGUAAAAAGUUAUACAUUUUCAAUUUGUUUAAUCUUUAGAUAGAAGAGUGAAAAUUUGUAAAAUAAAUUUAAAGUAAUACAUAAAAAUAACUUAUGGAAUUUUUAUCUAUUUUUUCAUUUUCAUUUACUUUUAGAAUCCUAACAUAGUCUUUAUUUGACUGCAUUCAUCUCUUCCUGUUGCAAUAGAGAUAAAAAUCCCUUUUUCUUUUCCCCUGUUUUGCACCCAUAUUUUAAAACUUAAAAGCAUUUUUUUAUACCGUUCUUUCUGAAUUUUGAAAAUUUCAGCAUUUUAGCUGUCCCGGAGAACUCAUUAAACAAUAUGCAUGAAUUUCCAAAUUUUAAGAUCACAAGUCGCAAUUUGACACUCAUCUUAUUUGCCUGUGCAGGUUGUCGACACUGUGGAAGAGGCAGUGGACUUUAUAUUGACAAAGGAGUGCAACUCAUGAAGCUUCUACACCCAUACAUUCUUUCCCAAAGUAAUAAUUAUUUUGGAAAGUGUCGGAUCAAAAAAAAAAAUACAAAAGAGAGGGAGACAACGAUACGAGUAAAAGUAAAAGUAAUAGGGAAAUAUUUAUUUAAAAUAAAUAGAAAUAACGUUCCAGUUCCUUGGCCCUAUAGGGAUGUGGGCUGGAGAGUACUUCUUGGAAAACUAUUUCGCCUAUAUGGCGAACUGGACUGGGGUCAUUCAGCUGAGAAUGUAAUUCACCUUUUUUGAGAGGUGAAACUGGCAGGAUCCAGUUUUGAUUCAAAACAAGCUUCAUCAUGGGUGGAUGAAAUCUUCAUUUUUCAGCACUUGUAUCUCUCAUGUCUCUAACGCUAGAUGUAUGCCAGACAUCCAUCCAUUUGCAAAUAACCCUUGGCAUUAUUACUUGACUACAUAUUGCUUCAAAAGUUGCACCCUCGGAAGAUCCACAAAAUCCCAUUUGUUAAAAAAAAAAGGGAGUUUGAAGUGCUGUCUGCCAAUUCCUGUAGUCUUGCACCUGAAAUUAGCAAUUGAAUUAUAAAUUAUAGAUAAACACAACUAAAUCUAAAGGAGAUCUUUCAUUAACGUACGGUUAAACAGUUUGACCUGAUCUCCAACUAGGACGUUUCUACAAGUCCAUCUGUCGGUUGAACUACCGUAUGUGCACCAUAGGGGCGAAAAAAAAUUAAAUGUCCGCUUAGAUACGCCUUCUGUUUCUUAUUUUUAAAAACCAAAAAUAAUAAUUUUGAAAUAAAAUACAAAAACAUUUAGGGUCUCAAAUUAGAAAGAGGAAUGGCUUUUAAAAAUUGUUUUAAAAAAUAUAAGUAUCAAAAAAUCUUUACUCACUCAAAUUUUAAAAUUUUUUGAAGAAUUUUUCAAGUAUAUAAGAUAAGUCUAUACAUUUUGUAUCAAAGUUUUUAUUUUUAUAUAUAAGUAAUUACUAUUUUCUGUUUAAAAAAAAAUAAAAAACAGGUAGUGUAUCCUAUCCAAUCGAUACCUAACAUAUCUAAUUUCUUCAUUUCAAAUGCUAUGGAACAACCCCGGUUUGAAAGAUAUACACAGAAAAACUUACCCCAAUUCCCUCUGAAACUUCAGAAACACCUACCUCAGUUCCCACUUUGGGAUUAGAAUUUUAUGACUUGUUUGGGUUGGCUUCCAAAUUUUCCAAGGGCCUUAUCCAAAGCAGCAUGAAAAUUGCUGAAAGGAACCAGCUCCAUCCUGAAAACAAAGAUGUCUCAAUGAGCAAAGUCAACACUAGACAGCAUGUAGAUAUAAUCAAGAACCCUUGAAACUAGUGAUACAUGUAGUAAAGCAGCAUGGUGUUGCCAGCCCAGAAAGUUAAAAAAACUCAUUGAUCCCAGUGUUCAUUUUGGUGGCUCCACAUUCCCAGUCGGCAAUCUCAUUUCCAGAGGCAUAAGUUGGACGAUAAAAAGGGGACAUCAGAAACCUUCCCAGAGUUUGUUAAAUCAGCAUUACAUCACUGAUUUCUCUCCUUAGAACAAGUAUUUAACAAAGUUCUAAUCAAAAUUUCAUUAUUUACUUAAAAUAAGAUGAUUUUAUGAUAUAUUGUGCAAUAGAUGGAUAUGAUCCUGACCAGCAGGACGUGUAGUUGGUGAUUCUGUCACAAACCUAAAGAGGUCAAUAAAUGCUGUAAAAGAAAAUGUGCUAUAUCUUGGUAAGUGUUGAGUCUAUCUGACAAAACCUUAUUUUAUCAUAUCGCCCAUAUGACUCUUGCCAGGUAACACCCAAAAUGAUAUGCAGAAUAAACUGUUGAUCCCAUGCAUCAAAUUAUCCAGCAUCAUGCCAGGUUCACACUCAUGGGAUCAAUUUAUUUUUUCUUUAGAAGGUCAACAUACUCGUAUUUUAUCUUUCCCUCUUGUGUGAGCCCCAAAAGGUAAUCUAUCAUCUUUCUGGACUCCUUUGCUUUAUCUGAACUCAUCCAUUUCUGCAGCCAGAAUCCCCUCAAGGAAAGAUCCUGAAAAUAAAUAGAUAUUAGGGUGUCAUAUAUGACAAAGGCUGUGAAGAAAAUACAUGGCUAUCUAGAGAGAGAGAGAGAGAUCUGCAACAUUCUGUUUAAUAUCAGGCCUGUUUAAGAUUUUAGUUAAUUUGACCUUUCUCAUAAACAGUCAUAAAAGUCUAAGGAAAUUUUCCUUCAUAUCGGCACUCCACCAGUCUUCUCAAUCCAGAUUUACCAUUUUUCCCUUUCCAACUUUUGGCCUCUUUAUACCUCAGCUUACUUCCAUAUGCUUUGUAGAAACUUCUUUAUGGAAGAUUGAGCAUUCCAAAUGGAUGAAACGGAACACAAAUACAACCACUUAAACCAGAAUAAUUUGACUUAACAGAGAACAAAAACCAUCAUAUAUCUAGUUUGUUACAUUGUUAUAGCAAGCCUGGAAAAGUUAGGAUGCUACUGGAACCAAAGAUGUCACAAAGAUAUUGAUAGAGAAGCCUGCAAAGGCAAGAGGCAUCUUUUUAUCGUUCUGGACAAACCAAGAAGCUAAGAGACUUGCUUUAUCAAUCUAAUUUCAUCCAAAUAAUUUUAACAAUCCAAGAGCAUUAUAUCAUCCCAAAGAUCUGGAUAGAAUUGAACAAACCAAGCAGCCAUGAAGCUUUACUGACUGCCUAAUCUCAUCCAAAUAAUCUAGACAAUUGGAUAGCAACAUGGGGAUUGGGUUGAGGGGAAAUAGGAAAAAGAGAGAGAGAGAGAGUGUGCAACACAAGCAUAUAAUAAUUAACAAGGACUUAUCUCAGGAAUAUGCAAUUUCUUGUUUAGUCCCUAAAGUUUGCACCAAAAUUGACAACAAUAACAAUAGACUAAAACAGAAAGAAACGGGAUCUGAUGUCAUGGAUUACCUUAAAAAUGAAAGAUGAAGUUGAAACAGUGAUAGGUUUCUUAGACAUUCCACCAUAUGUUACCAUAGUUCCCCCCUGCCUGAAGACAAGAAUUUAUCAGCUCCCCAGAAGAAGAUUUUAGAACAAAAAAAAGUAGCUUAAUUUCCAAGCACAUCUCACCUCAAGAAUUUGAGAACCAAAGUGGCAGAAUUGCCACCAACACAGUUGAAUCCCAAAGCAGGUUCCGGUAAAUUAGCCUAGCAUAUUAAUUAAAUGUAAAAUGGAAAUUUUGAGUGCUAUGACCGUAAAAUCCAAGAAAUAAAAUUAACUACUAUAAAGCACAAUCUUUAGCGACACCAAAGACAUAUCAUAAAGAAUAAACACCUCCCUACAUCAGAAAGUAUCAACUAUACAGGGGCAAUAGAUAAGAUACCAGGAGGCCUUUGACAUUCUUAACUUCCAAUUGACUCUCAGUGAACACUUCAUCAGCACCAAGCCCCUUAAGUUUUUCUUUUACUUCAUCUGAUCCAACCCUGUAGCAAGAGGAGGAUGAUAAACAAUGGUGAAAUUCCCCAUAUAAAAUUUCUUUUGCUGGAAGCAAAUGCCAAAUUAUUCUUCAAUCUGUUUAGACAUGUAGUCAAAUAAACUCCAUCACUCACUUAUAUUAGACACCUGCAGGAAGCCACAAUCUUAAAAUUAUCAGCACACACUUCUUAUUCAGACGUAUAUCACUUCUCAUUCCUUUGUUUAUAUUAUGAUAUUCAGUCUGUACACCUUUAAUCAAUUUCUUGUCACUGUACUUUACAACAUCCAACUGGUUGACCAAUUGAUUCACAAUACUUCCCUCACCUUCAUCAAAUGUGUCAAUGAUUUUCAGAAGGUAUCAAAUCAAAAGGAACUGCAAGAAAACUAUCAUAAUCAUGGAAGACUCUCAUCAUGAGGUCUGAGAAUAAUAGUUGGUUACAGAUAGCUUGACACCAAUUGGACAAAAUCCAACAAAUCAUACUAGGCUUCCCCAACUGCAAGUUAGGCCACUGAACUCACCCUACCAUUGUUGAAGUCAACUAUGUGGGUGUCAAUACAAUAACAAGAGAAUCCAUGCAUUUAUAUGCAACCUAGAAAAGUCAAAUUGAUGAUGCCUCUGGGGAUGCUUGUCCAUAUGCACCUACAGCCAGUAGGCAGAGAAUCUGAGAGGGGAUACUGGAAGAAAGUCACCAUCUGAUGAUUGACUAGUGUGGUGGACAUUCAACACAGCAAUAAGGUUGUUACUUGGCACCAGAGUUUAACACCCUUCGAAAAAAUUAAGGACAAAAGUAAACACCUAUGCAUGGACAAGAUGAAAAAGGACAAUAUUCCAUCAAAAGAUAAAGUGGUAUUUGGGUUAACUUGAGGGGGCUCAAAAGCCUUUGUUGAUGCAUGGACAAGGAUUUAAUGAUGCAAUAAACUUCUGUGUUUUGAUCAGUUGUCCAUAAAUAUAAAUAUUUUGCAAAAAUAUUUGAAACCUCAAAAACAUUCACUUAAGUAUUAAAAAAAAAGGCCAAGAUGCUACAAAAGGUUUUAUACCACAAAGUGGAUGAAUUCCAGGAAGACUAAAGAAGUCGCAAGUAACUGCAUAUCAGCCAAGUUUCAUACAUGAACAAGAUCAACUGGAAACACAUGCAAAUGCAAGAGAAUGCCGAAUGCCACCUAAUUAUUUAAGUUUGACUGACCAUGCACUGAAAAACUUAGAUGAAAACAAGUUUUUUAGUAUCAAAGUUUCCAAUCAGCACCUGUCUCUUAUUAUAUUAAUGCUGUGGAUGCCACGAAUUCGUGCAAGCUGAAUGAUGCACUGGCCCACAAUGCUUGUAGCCCCAUUUUGCACAAUAGCAUCACCUAUUCAUACCCAUACUAAUCAGGGAAACACAUAUAAAAGAAAUUACAAUUUUUUAGCACUAAAGACAUACCUGGAUUUAGAUUGCCAAAGUCUUCAAGCAUUCUUAGUGCGGUCAAAGGAUUAAUAGUAACAGUGGCCGCAUAUUCCAUAGGCACAUCUUUAUUAAUUUUGUGCCAGACACUCUGCUCUUUCACAACAUAUGUCUGCCAUGUUCCUAUGCAGAACAAAUUUUGUCAUUAUCCAAUAAGAUCAUGCAAAGCACACAUGUUUUUAUGUGAGUUCUCUUGGUGUUUUGUUGUCAAAUGAUUGGAUACUUAAGAUGUAGCAUUUUCUAGUUUUGCUUCAACUGGCUGUGUAAGGAUUUCACAUACUCAUACUUAAUUUUGUGUUUUCCGUCUAAAGGCAUUGGAAUAUGCAUUUCAAAGUAUUGGAAUGCCAGCAAUGAAGUGAUGCAAAACUUAUAAUAACUUUGUGAUAUCCAAAUUAGAAAAAGAGAGUGUUACCAGAAGAGGGAGGAGAUGGGAUCACCCAAUCACCAGGAGAAAGUCCCUUAACUGCAGAGCCCAAAGAGUGUACUUCUCCAACUCCCUCAUAUCCUCCUACUGCUGGAACAUGUGGUCUCACAGGGUAAACACCUAUAAAAUCGAAGAUUGUCAGUCUCAAAAACAAAAAAAAUCAUUUCCAAAACAAAAUUCAAGACAUUGUUCAUAAACAAAUGAAAAUCAACAACACAAUAAAAAGAAAUAUAAAUUAUUAGGCAAAGUUUUGUUAGCAGUUCCAAAAAAAAAUUCUUACUUCUGAAAGCAAAAUUUUCAUUGAUCUUAGCUCUUGAAAAUUGAGAAAAGUAGUUCAAAACUUUAACCAAACAAUCCCAUAAAAGAACACCUUGAUAAUAACUUUCAAAUAUAAUUAAACAAAAACGGGGAAGAUGCAUUGAAGUGACGCUAAUCUACUGUUUGGGUGCUGCUAAACAACAAUUUAAAAAAUAGAAUUAACUAAAAUUCAGAAUCUAAGAUUCUUACAAUAUUAGAAACAAAAAAUAACAGCGUCCAUUCAACCGAGGCCAGCACAACUAUUAGGUUGUUUGUCUCGGUUGAUCAGAGACACAAGAGGAAAAAAAAACGCCCGCUCAACUGAAACUAACACAACUACGAGGCUAUUUAUCUCAGAUUCUCAGGUGAGACGAUAUUCACUUUCCUUUUCUUUCCCUCUCCUCAAUUUUCUCGGAAACCAAACAGGACGCAAUAGAAAAACUAAUCCAACCUUCGAUCCUAUUAAUAUCGGAAGGAUUGAUGGGAGCAGCGAGCAUUUUAACGCAGACAUCGUUCUCUUUAACCUCAACUGGAGGUAGCUCAACCACUCUGCCAAAACAAAGAUGUGAAAAUUCAAUACUCUAUAUUUUUUCAUCGCAACUGUCAAUUACACUAACAAUGAAGAUAUUCGAACCUGGUCACGCUCUCCGGUGGCCCAUGGUGCUCAUACACCACCGCCGAUGACGGCGGCGACAUAGCGGCCGAGAAGGCUCGAAUUUGGCUCCAACACCGGGGCAGAGAUUCUGACCUAAGACAAAGAAACGACGAGCCAUAGUGGGUUCUCGCGGUUGCUAACCUCACCAACGCCAUUCCGCCCUUCUUUUGCCUUGCCAGAGGGUUUGAAUCCCAAUUUUGUUACUGUUCUUUUUUCUCCAUUUUUUUUUUUCUGAUUAAACAUAAGUUAAAAACGGCGUCGUUUGAGGCCUCGUCUUCCGUUUUUGGGGAUUCUUGUGCUUUGGUUUUGGGCACGGUCAAACGGACCGGCUUUGCACCCAAACUGAUCUGCUAUUCCCUUGUGUGAGUGCUAUGCUCUUAAACGGCGUCGUUUAAAGCCUCAUUAAUGUUCUUUACAUUUCAAAACGGUUCAUAUUUGUAGAAUCCACCUAUACUUGGUAGAGCUUGGCGGAUUUGGUACGGAUCAACCUCAUCUCAACUUAUCUUAAUUAUUUAAACAUAUAAUCAUCUUCAUUCAAAAAUUAAGAAGAAAAAAAAAAGAAUAAGAUAAGACUUUAGGAGUAUGAGAAUUUCUCAUACCCUUUGCCCAUUUAGGCUUUUUUCAAUUUUUUUAAAUAAAAUUUAAUUAUAUUAAAAAUAAAUAUAAUUUAUAAAUAAAUAAAGAUUUAAAAUUUUAUAAUCUAUUUUAAUAUAUAUUUUUUAUUUUAUGUGUUUAAAAAAUGAAAAAUAAAAAAUAAAAAAAUAUACUUAAAAUUAAUUUUUUUACUAAUUGUAUGUCUAAAAGGGGCAAUAUAAGGUGGGAAUAAGGUAAUGCAUGAACUCGUCUUGAAUUUGAAAAAAAGUUUCAAACUCAUUUCUAAUUUGUUUAUAAUUUUCCUAAAUUUGUCAUAUUACAGCAAUAAGGUAUAGGUAUAUGAGAAAACUCUAUCUCAUUGGCAUCACUACUCUACACAUAACAUGUCAAAAAUCAUUUGGAAGCAACUUAUUCAAUA